rnacentral:lncRNA from 1 species
GUGAGUAUCGGGCACCCUGGUUGAUAAUUGAUACGCGUGUUACUUUCUAUUCAAUUUUUUUAUGAGCUGUUUGCAGAUGAUGUUACAAGGUUGGCCAUAGGCUCGACAUCACCACUAGCAAAAAUCCAAAAGUCGCCAUGAAUAAUCAAAGGAUGUCAACAUUACUUUUAGGAUGCUUCACUAUAGUUUUGUUCUGUCAUACUGUAUCACCGUCGUGAGAAUCCUGGAAGUAGAUACAUGCCUUAUGCCUACAUAGGGCGGCCUUCAAUCAUGGAAGUUCCAAUCUCUGGAUUUUUUUAAAAUAAAAUUAUUAUAUGCAGACAUAUAGAGAGACAAAGACAUAAAGAAUUAGGUACUGUGUGAAUAUUUAAACAGAAAUUUCAGUUACAUUUUACAUAGUCUAUAUGUGAUUCAGUGUCGUGAUUGGACGCUUGAUCCAUUUACUUUGCUAUAUGAUUUUGAUAUAGCAUGAAGAGCUGUAGUUUGGCACGCUUCAUCUAGUUAGUUGACAAUAUAAUUCUGAUUAAAUUAAAUGUACAGCUACAGAAUUGGACAUUUCGACACAGUUAGUUUGCCAUAUAACUUUGACAUAACAUAGAGUCUGUUUUUAAGAAAAGAAUUCCUGCAAGUAUUUCUACAUGUAAUUAUUCUAGAUGAAGGUUUUGUGUGGUACUAAUUCAUUUUAUGCUACAUAAGUGGAUAAUUAAUUGAAAUGAAAUGGCUCAUGAGAAGUUUUAUUUGUGUCUAUUUUUUUUCCGAGUGGUUUGAAAGGCUAGAGGUAGACAGCUUUGCUUAUGAUGUGCAACUUCCAACUGCUGUGACACCAAGACAUGAUUACCCUGUUAGAAACCAGUAAACAUGUUUUGCUGUGAAUGUCAUGAUAUGCAAAUUGCACCAGGGCUGCAGGUUCAGUAUAGAUAUGGAUUUCCUCUUAAGAAAAGAAAAGCUGCUUACUGUUUACAAGUUUUCAACUACAAAUGCUGUGAGCUUUUGCUCCUAGACAGAUAUUAGAAGGAAAUCUCUACCAAACAUGCCUUUUUAAAGCCAUUUCUAAAUGCUAAUUUGCAUGACACUCCAAUAAGAUAGUCCCAAAUCUAACUAAUUACUAAUUUGCGUAUCGAAAAUUGGGUUGCACACUGCAUCCUCUUGGCUCCAGUUAUUCACACAUAACACAUAACUGAUUUUUUUUCGAAUACGCAAGAGAACCACAUAUCAUUGCAUUAAGAAGAAGAAUUCGAACAUAUACACCACACAACACACACCACUGAAUAUUGAUACAUACCACAAUUCCUCUUUUUGGUUUAGCUAUAUCUCUUUACUUUGUUUUACCUUGUGUUUUGUUUCAUAGUUUGCAGUAGUUAAUCUGUUCAUUUGGUGUGUUCCUUCUGAUCAUAUUCCAAAUUGAUUAUUAGGUUGUUCAGGUUGGAAUAAAUUGUCGUAUUCAAGAACAGUCGCCACUCACGUUUCUCAUCCCAAAGUAACUUUCUUUCAUCAGUGGCCCAUUGGGAGUGCAAAAUUGCAAUCGUGUCCCAUUAAAACAGCUUUCAACUUUGGGAGAAAGACAUAUCCCUUUCACCAGUAUAUUGUCAAUAUUGAUAUCGAUAGGGCAAAAUGGGGAACUUUUUUUUAUUACUGGAAGUCCUUUUCCUGCAGUAUAAGUGGAUUGUUCUAAUUUCAUGAGGAGGGAUGGUUCAUGUGGUUGCCACUUUAGGAGCAGGAAAAAAUUUCAUCUCAUAUUUCAACCUAGUGGUUACUUGCACAGUAUUGGAUGCAUAGGAUUUUGUUGGUGACAAUUCACAAUCACUGAACUGGAUAUAAUAGUUCCACUUAUGGGAUGACUCUGUGUAUCAAAUAUGAUGCUGAGAUACUAUUGAAGGAACCCUUUUUUGCAUAUUUAUUUAUCUCAAGAAGAGCCAUAUAGGUUCACUUUAUCUUUUACAUAUUUAGCACUCAAGAAGAACAAUAACAUUAGUCCUCAUCUUUUUUUUUCAAGAACACAAUCAUCAGUUUAGACUUUCAGUUGAUCAGAUCUAAUCAUUGCAAUACCAUUGGGUUGUUUGGAUAUCAAAUUGUAUCAAAACUAGAUUUUUUUUUGUAACAAUAUCUAGAGCCUAGCAACCUAAAACCUUAUUUGGGUAAGAGAGGAUAAAACCAGCAUAAGAAAAUCUGUACUGCUAAGACUCAAAAUAUGAAUAUUGUGGAAAACUACUCCUACCUAUUUUUCUCAAAACCAUCUAUGCCUUUCACAUUCUCUUUUUAUCUCGAACACCCCUGUUCACAUUCUCAACAAACUCAACUGAUAGAUAUAUGGUGGCCACAUGUGCAUGGGAGAUACAUAGUUGCAUGUUUACUUAACCGAACUCUCUGCUCCCUUUUCCUAUCGCAUAUAUUGUCCAAUAUUUAAUAAAUUAUUUGUGGCACAUCUUAAGUUCUGAAACCUAUUAUACAUACAGAUGACAUUAGUAGUUUGAUGUCAUGUUUUACUGUCUAUUUGCCCGUGUUGUUCAAAAUUUGUUUCCUACAUAUUUAGAUGUCGUGUUCAUGUAUGGCAUUUGACAGGAGGAGAAAAUUAGGGAAGCCAUCGAGGAUGUUGGUUUUGAAGCUAAGCUGAUCAACGAGGAGGUCAGGGAAAAGAACAUUCUAGUAUGCAGGCUGCAUAUAAAAGGAAUGACCUGCACUUCUUGCACAAACACAGUAGAAUCUGCCUUGCAAGCUUUUCCUGGGGUUCAAAGAGCUUCAGUUGCAUUGGCUACUGAAGAGGCAGAGAUCCGUUAUGAUCGCAGGAUUGUUGCUGCUAACCAACUUAUCCAGGCAGUGGAAGAGACUGGCUUUGAAGCAGUCCUGAUCACUGCAGGAGAAGAUCGGAGCAGGAUAGAUCUCAAAAUAGACGGCGUUCUCAAUGAGAGGUUAAUAAUGAUACUAGAAAGCUCUAUACAAGCUCUUCCUGGUGUGGAAGACAUAAAAGUUAACACUGAACUCCACAAGAUCACCAUCUCAUACAAGCCUGACCAGACAGGACCCAGGGACCUCAUCGAAGUCAUUGAGUCAGCCACAUCUGGUGAUAUUACUGCAUCAAUAUAUCCAGAAGCGGAAGGAAGGGAGCAUCAUAGGUAUGGGGAAAUCCAGCGAUACAAGCAGUCUUUCUUGUGGAGCUUAAUAUUCACUAUCCCAGUGUUUCUCACCUCCAUGGUAUUCAUGUACAUUCCUGGGCUGAAGGAUGGGCUCGAAAAAAAGGUUGUCAACAUGAUGAGCAUUGGUGAACUAUUGCGGUGGAUCUUGUCAACACCAGUCCAAUUUAUAAUUGGCCGCAAGUUUUAUACUGGUGCUUACAAGGCAAUGUGCCAUGGCUCCCCGAACAUGGAUGUUCUCAUUGCUCUAGGGACGAACACUGCUUACUUUUACUCAGUUUACUCGGUUCUUCGAGCAGCUACCUCUGAGAAUUACAUGUCAACUGAUUUUUUCGAGACAAGUUCCAUGCUCAUAUCAUUUAUCCUCCUUGGUAAGUACCUUGAGAUCUUGGCAAAAGGGAAGACCUCUGAGGCUAUUGCUAAACUGAUGGAUCUUGCACCGGAAACUGCAACACUGUUGAUACAUGACCAUGAAGGGAAUGUUGUAGGAGAGAAAGAGAUUGACAGUAGAUUGAUUCAGAAAAAUGAUGUUAUCAAAGUAGUCCCCGGUGGGAAAGUUGCUUCUGAUGGCUUUGUUAUAUGGGGCCAAAGCCAUGUGAAUGAAAGUAUGAUAACUGGAGAAUCGCGGCCCGUGGCAAAGAGGAAGGGUGAUACCGUAAUUGGAGGUACGGUCAAUGAGAAUGGUGUGCUCCAUGUCCGGGCAACAUUUGUCGGAUCCGAGAGCGCGCUGUCACAGAUUGUAAGGCUUGUAGAAUCAGCACAAAUGGCAAAAGCUCCUGUCCAGAAGUUUGCUGAUCAGAUAUCUAGAGUCUUUGUCCCACUUGUAAGUUCUAUUACAUUGUUGUAAUAAGAUCAAUGGGUUAUUCUUAUCAAUGAUGAAUAACCUUCUCCAUGGUUGCAGGUUAUUGUUCUCUCUUUGCUUACUUGGCUCGUGUGGUUCUUAGCUGGGAGGUUCCAUGGUUACCCUUACUCAUGGAUACCUUCUUCCAUGGAUAGCUUUCAACUUGCCCUUCAGUUUGGAAUAUCAGUUAUGGUGAUUGCUUGUCCUUGUGCCUUAGGGCUGGCAACUCCAACUGCGGUAAUGGUUGCAACUGGAGUCGGUGCCUCAAAAGGCGUUUUGAUCAAGGGUGGGCAAGCUCUUGAGAGUGCACAUAAGGUACGGAAAAUUCCCUUCCUCACGUGGAUACACUUGUUUCAGACAUUGCUUUCAAAUUGGUGACAAACUGAUAACACUACUUAUUUUUAUGACAUUUCACAGGUAGACUGCAUUGUAUUUGAUAAAACAGGAACACUGACUAUUGGGAAGCCUGUUGUUGUCGACACCAGGCUUCUCAAAAACAUGGUCUUGCGUGAAUUCUAUGAUUGUGUUGCAGCAGCAGAGGUAUGUUAUUUGACUCUAUUAUUCUCGUCAUCAUUUUGAUUGAAAAUAACUUUUAGUGCUUUUGAAGUGAAACUUUUCUCAAAUUAUAUGAAUUUCUUGUCUCAUUCAGGACAACAGUGAGCACCCACUGGCGAAGGCAAUAGUGGAGCAUGCCAAGAAGCUGCACUCAGAAGAAAACCACAUCUGGUCUGAAGCAAGGGAUUUUAUUUCAGUACCUGGACAUGGUGUCAAGGCCAAAGUUAAUGAUAAGAGUGUCAUUGUGGGGAACAAGAGCUUUAUGCUGUCAUCAGGCAUUGAUAUCCCCAUGGAAGCUUUGGAAAUACUAGCGGAAGAAGAGGAGAAAGCACAAACAGCCAUUAUUGCGGCUAUGGAUCAAGAAGUUGUGGGCAUAAUCUCUGUAUCUGACCCUAUAAAACCAAAUGCCCAUGAAGUGAUAUCAUACCUCAAAUCCAUGAAUGUGGAGAGCAUAAUGGUGACCGGGGAUAACUGGGGGACUGCUAAUGCCAUUGGCAAAGAGGUUGGCAUUGAAAAGAUCAUUGCUGAAGCAAAACCAGAGCAGAAGGCUGAGAAGGUGAAGGAACUUCAGGUGAGAUAUUUUCUGCUUUAUAUCAUAGCUUUCUUGUUUUCCUCUUGCAAUCAUUUAGUUAUUUAUUUACUGUCCUUGCAUCUUAAUUCUUGCAGUUGUCUGGAAAAACCGUGGCGAUGGUUGGUGAUGGAAUAAACGACUCCCCAGCACUUGUGUCAGCUGAUGUAGGUCUGGCAAUUGGUGCAGGAACAGAUGUCGCCAUUGAAGCGGCCGACAUUGUCCUCAUGAAGAGCAACUUGGAGGAUGUGGUCACUGCUAUCGAUCUUUCCAGGAAGACGUUCUUCCGCAUUCGAAUGAACUAUGUCUGGGCUCUCGGCUACAACAUCAUCGGCAUACCAAUAGCUGCGGGGGUGCUCUUCCCAUCGUCCCGGUUCCGCCUGCCACCAUGGGUUGCCGGCGCCGCAAUGGCGGCUUCAUCCGUCAGUGUCGUAUGUUGGUCUCUGCUGCUGAGGUACUACAAAAGUCCAAAGAAGUUUGGCAAUUGAUGGCACAGGAGCAACCUGAGCAGUAUUAGCUUGAAAUGAACCCUAGAUAUCAAUGAGUAUAAUCGUACAUAGUAGCGGGUGAACUUCCUGGAGUUGAAGUUGCGUAAAAUAAGCUGUACAUAUGCGUUACUUCUGUUGUGGAGUUCGAUCACAAGUUUUUUUUUCCGUGAAUACGUAGGAGAGCUGCGUAUCUUAAGAAAAAAGUUUUCAUACAUCGCGGGCCUAUCCGGGCGCACGCACACGGGUUUAGCCAUAUUUUAGCUUACAUUACACCACCACAACGACAACACAAAUGGCACAGAAAGGCUGAAAUCAGAAAUGUUGAUCUAAAAUACCUGAUGGCAUUGGCCAGCCUAUGACAGCUAGGUGUUUUGCAUCGGAGUUGCCCUUCCUGAAUGAUCUCGUGCAGCAGCUGUGAGGCAUGAUUUGGUGGUGAUCUUGCAAACACCCUUUCAUUGCGUUCCUUCCAUAUUUUUCAUGAAACAAGCAUAAACGCCGAGUCGAAGCCUUUCCUUUGCCCUAAAUGGACACUGCUUCUCUUGCUAAGCCACCAGUCUAACAACCCGACUUCAUUUACCGGAAUGGUGUUGUGCAGGUUCAGUACUGCACUGACUCGAUGCCACACUUGCAUGGAGAAUGAGCACUUGGAGAAGAGGUGAUCAACAGUCUCUGAUUCUUAGUCACACAAGCCACAACACGCAUGUUCCUGCAAUCCCUCGCCUCUGCCUCCUGGCAGUUGUCCAAAGCCGAUUCUUGACAGCUAACCACAUGAAUACCUUCACUUUUAAUGGUGCCCAAGCCUUCCAAAUCGGUUCUGCUGCGGCGAACUUGACGGAGGUGCUGUAGAAGAACUUGCAUACCGAUUUAGCGGAGUAAGAACCAGAGAUAUCCCAUUUCCAGAUAACCGAAUCUUCCACCCCGGGUGUUAACUGAACCUGCUGUAAGUGAUGCCAUAAGGCGACGUAUUCAAUUAACGUAGUUACUGUUAGGUGUACGACAAUAUCAUGAAUCCAUUGCUUUUUGUGCAUCCCCUACACUACUGUCCAUCGAUUUUUGAUUCGUGGCCUGAUCAAGUUGCACAAUUCCGGAGCCAAGGUACACAGCGAGGCCUGGCCUAUCCAGUUAUCGACCCAAAACAAUACUAAGUUGCUAUCCCCUACUUGUACUUAAAUCGAAGCUUGGAAUAAUUUUUUCAGAUCAUUAUCCUGCUCGAAGUCGAGCCGCAUAUGUUUCCAUGGGCGAUCGGGAUCCCCACUCGAUCACAAGUUCUGGAUUGUGUCAUUAACAUUGUAGAGGCACGUGCAUGGUUGCAUGGACGCAUGGUGUAUAUUAUAGGAGUAUAUAGCUAUUGACCUUUUGUAUUUACUUGUUGGUACUGUGAAAGGAUGUAUCGAUGUGUUGGUUGAUCCCAUGACCUAUAUACCUUUUUUUAGAUACAAUCCAUGAUCUGUACACAUGAACAUGAUGGAUUGAUGAUAGAUUAUGGAAACAGAAUUUGUGUUUCCAGUCUCCAACGUGACAUAUGAAAGACUCCGAGCAACGUCGACGACGCUUGUUGAAUUGAACUACUUGGACGGAGGGGGUCAUGGUCAGUUGGAGGUGCCAGUUAAUGGGAUCAGACUCGACCGGUCGAAAGCAGAGAGGCUGGUGUGGUGUGCUUGGUGAUGCUGGAGCUAGAAAGUCGCCUCUUCACUCUCCACGGUUGCUUUACUUUCCUCUUGUGGGCAACAUUAGUUGCCUAACCGAACUGCUAACUUCUUUAAUGGCAUGAGCGUGGCAGUCACACUUGCAACAGAAAGAGGUCCUGAUGAUGAGGCGAUGAUCUGAUCUGGCGCCCAACGCCAGCAGUGUGGAUGGAAUUCGGUUCGGUUGGCUUAGCUUUUUGCCUGUCUCGUGGCCAAGUGCUCUAUUUUCGCCGCGGAAUAGCUACUGGGUGGAAUCCGAUUCGUGGUUCGAGAGUGUGUUCGUGGUGAUUUGACUCGAAUUAGAUAUGAGUGCUCUGUUUUUCUUUGUUCUCACUUCUCAGGCUACAUGCGUGCGUACUGACGUCGGCUGUACGCCUGUGCUAAACCGGGCAAUCCGGAGUCGAAUUUGGAGAAGCACAUAAGUUUCUGGCAAUAAUACCCGCGGCUCUAUUUGGCAACACACUGUCUAGUUUCUCAGGUGUUGUCAUCAAAGCAUUCAGGAGAUUGCUAAGUGCUAACGUACGUGUUUGUUACUGCAUCGUUUUUGCUUUUUAUCCCUACUUUAGUGACGUCGAAGACGAUGUUGAGAUAAUAUUUUACGUGGUCAUUUCUCACUAUCUUUCUCUGGAACCCGACCUUUUUUUUAACGUUAGAAUAUUACCAUUCCCUUAGCACUAAUUCGUUCAGCUUUCGUGCGGGACAGCGCUAGCUGCCGAGUGCCAACUGAACGCCGCGACGGUGGGUACCGAGUCAUCUGCACGUUUCAGUUACAUCACCGGAAAUGAUUGAGACCAAUGUUCACCAGUUGAUACGAAGAAAUGUGUGCACUUCCGGAAUCGGUGUUGCGUAGCAUUAGCAGUUUGCACCAGCAACAGCAAGGCAUUUCCCUGCUCGAGCUGUGUGGGCUCUUCGCCGCCCUUAUAAAUCCGGGCACCGUUCAAACCAGACCACCCCUACCUACUACCGAAUCCCCAAACCAAAACCCACGACACGCCUGACGAGCGGAGUGAUCGCGGCACGGGCGGCAAUGGGGGCGACUACUCGAGCCAUACUCCUCUCCUGCUUCCACGGCGGGGGUGGCGGCUCCGAGGUGAGCCGGCGCCUCGCGCUGCGCCCGCGGUACCCGUCAAUGCCGCGGCGCCCGAAGCGGGCCGCGGUUUCUGGCGGCUGCGGCGGCGGCGGAGGAGGAGGCGACCUGGAGGCCGCGGCAGGUGCGGGGAACGAGGAGGAGGAGGAGAAGGUGGCGGUGUUCUCCGUGUCCGGGAUGACGUGCGCCGCGUGCGCGGGGUCGGUGGAGAAGGCUGUGAAGCGCCUCCCGGGCAUCCACGACGCCGCCGUCGACGUCCUCGGUGGCCGGGCCCAGGUCGUCUUCUACCCGGCCUUCGUCUCGGUGAGCUCCGGGCACUCGUGAAUUUUCCUUUUGCGAUGUUUAAUGUAAUGCAGAGCUCUAGAUUGGAACGCUUCGUCCCUGUCAUUGCCUGAGAAUCGUGCCGGUGGAUGCACGCCUGCACGGUGCCUUCAAUUCUACCCUUUUCGGAUCAUAGGAUGUUCCAAUCUGUGUAAAAACGUUUUUUUCUUGAAGAAGCAUUAUUUGUCAGUAAAAGGUAUAGUAGUAAGUAUAUAGUUGCGGGGCAUUUGGGCAGCGUUUUCCCAUUAAACCCCGCCUGACGUGGCCUUCGUGGUCCAUGCUCGAGACAUGUGCAAUCAGCUCAUCCGCAAGUGAUUGGUCUUAACUCUUAAGCUAGAAAAGAAAAAGUAUUGCGAAAUGCUGAUACGUGUAGUGUUACUUGAAAGAUAUGUGGGUGGCCUACGAAAUGGACUGUGAAAAAUAGUGCUUCCAUCUUAGACAGCUUUGCUUCUGAUGUAGGACUGCUAACUGUGCUUUCCAAAAGGAAGAAAGGUGGCGUACCUGGCUACCUGCAUAUUGCUGGCAAGUUUUCAGCAACAAGUGCGGCGUGCCUUCACUCCUGACUCCUGGAUUGAAAUUAGAAUUGAAGCCCUACCUAACAUGCCUCUAUACAGUAAUUAGAUUAACUGCUUGAUCUGAUGCUCCCAGAAGAUAAUUCCCAAGAUACUUAGCUAAGGUGUCCAGCUAAAAUUGUGUCGCAUAUAUAGCUUCCAUCUUUUCUUUCCCUCUAAUUUACUGCUCCUCAUGGAAUGCUGAUGCAUAUUGUUGUUUUUCCCUUGUUGAAUAUGUCUCUUUCUCCGUUCCACUCUGCAUUCUGUUUCAAAGUUCCAAGUUAUUGAUCUGUUCACUUGGUAGUCCACUAGGUGCACCAUGUAUCCAAAUGAUUAUUUAACCGUUUCGUUGGAAGCAAGGUUGAGUUAUUCAAGAAUAAUUUGGCACUCACGUUUCCCACCUCAUAAUUACUUCCGUUAAUCACUGGCGGUUUGGGAUACAAAAUCUCAAUCUUGUCUGCCAUCCUGAUAACUUUUAAGAAAAAAGAAGAUUGACUUGGAAGGCACAACACCUCUCUUUUCACUAGAAUCUUAAAUUCAUUACAAUGAAUGGUUUCUCUAUUAUUGUAAAGCCUUUUCUAGCUAGUUGCAUGAUGGGACACGACGCUUCACGUGAUUGCCCCUGUAGGACCACAUAUUUCAACUUAGUGGUUGCUUAUUCACACACUAUUUUAUUGGAUGGUAUCUAUGAUUUGGAUUGUGCCAAUUCUUUCUGUAUCUUGUAAUUUCAACAGUAAUAGCUACACUAAUAUAGUGAAUAAGAUAUAAUUGUCCCAUUUAUAGAUAAAAUAUACUGGAUAAGAUGUUGAAGUACUAACACUAUUCUGUUUUACUUGAUGUUUUUAAUGUGAAACAUUAACUAGAAAACUAGUACUGUAGUUUUCAUCUAUUUUGGUGGCCAAAUUUUAAAACAUUUCAUGGCAAAAUGAAAAAAGAAUGGGACCAAUAUUAGUAUGUAAGAAGAAAGUCUUUUCAUAACUAAUAUAGGUACAUAACCUCUUUUGGUUUUGACUUCAGCUACCACCAAGUUAUAUUUAGUGUCCCUGUCUUCAACCCACUUGGAGAGGAAACUUGUCUUUUUAUAGCUUGGACUAAUAUCUGUGCAUGAUCUAGUAUUUGCGCACUUCCUUCCUUGGAUAGUGCCUCCUUUUCCAACACCUUUCAAUAAUUGGGAAUCAGAAAAGGAAUAUCCUUUUUGUAAAACGGUUAGGUUCCUGAAAACAAAAGACAAUUUAAUGAUUGAUGACUACUCAACAAGUUGCUUCCAAAGCCACUACAUUUACAUCAAACGGCAUCCAUUCUCAAACUUUGCCCUCCUGAAUAAACCUGUUCAAAAUAUAAGGACCGUUACAGGCCUGAAAAAGCUCAGUCCACCAAGAAAGAACCUGAACUUUGGGAACAGAUUGAAAAAGCAACAUUUAUUAUUUUUAUACGGAGUGGAUGCAGAGUUAAAAAUUUAUAUUUUUAUGUUGACCAUGAAUAGGUGAUAGUUUUGCUUUUGAAUACCCCUUUUUGGCAUGUUUCCCUUUACAUAUUCCAGAGAAAAUGUAUUUGUGCAGUUGGAUUAUUCAACAUCCACGUUCACGCCUCUUUUCAGUUGAUCCAAACAACAUCGUCAUAGUAUAUACGCUGAAAUUCUCUGAUCGCUCUGUUAUUUGUGUAUUUUGAUGAACAGUUAAUAGAAACCCAUUCAAAUUUUAUUUUUAAAUUAUGAGUUUUUUAUUGGUCAUGUUUUAGAAUGAACACAUGUCAUGUUAAUUCUUGUCUCCAACAUAUUUUUAUAUUGUGAUCAUUUAAAUCUUUUGGACAGGAGAACAAAAUUACAGAAGCCAUCGAGGAUGUUGGUUUUGAAGCUAAGUUGAUUGAUGAGGACGUCAUGGAAAAGAACAUUCUACUAUGCAGGCUACAUAUAAAAGGAAUGGCCUGCAAGUGUUGCACAAGCACAGUUGAGUUUGUCUUGCAAGCUUCUCCUGGGGUUCAAAGAGCUUCAGUUGUACUGGCUACUGAAGAGGCAGAGAUCCGUUAUGAUCGCAGGAUUGUUUCUGCUAGCCAGCUAAUCCAAGCAGUGGAAGAAACGGGCUUUGAAGCAAUACUAGUCACCACAGGAGAAGAUCGGAGCAGGAUAGACCUCAAAAUGGACGGUGUUCUCGAUGAGAGGUCACUAAUGAUCGUGAAAACCUCUGUACAGGCCCUUCCUGGUGUAGAAAACAUUAAAUUCAACACUGACUUACACAAGGUCACCAUCUCAUACAAGCCUGACCAGACAGGUCCCCGGGACCUCAUUGAAGUCAUCAAGUCAGCUACAUCUGGUCUUGUCAAUGCAUCAAUAUAUCUGGAAGCAGAUGGAAGGGACCAGCAUAGGUAUGGGGAAAUCAAACGAUACAGGCAGUCUUUCUUGUGGAGCUUAAUAUUCACCAUUCCAGUUUUUCUCACCUCCAUGGUGUUCAUGUACAUCCCAUGGCUGAAGGCUGGACUGGAAAAAAAGGUUUUCAACAUGAUGAGCACCGGUGAACUAUUGCGGUGGAUUUUGUCAACACCUGUCCAAUUUGUUAUUGGUCGCAAAUUUUAUGCUGGUGCUUACAGAGCAAUGUGCCGUGGCUCACCGAAUAUGGAUGUGCUUAUUGCUCUAGGGACGAACACAGCUUACUUCUACUCAGUUUACUCGGUUCUUCGAGCAGCUACCUCUGAGACUUACAUGUCAACUGAUUUUUUUGAGACUAGUUCCAUGCUCAUAUCAUUUAUCCUUCUUGGAAAGUACCUUGAGAUCUUAGCAAAAGGAAAGACCUCCGAGGCUAUCGCCAAACUGAUGGAUCUUGCACCGGAAACUGCAACACUGUUAAUGUAUGACCACGAAGGAAAUGUGGUAGGAGAGAAGGAGAUUGACAGCAGAUUGAUUCAGAAAAAUGAUGUAAUCAAAGUAGUCCCAGGUGGAAAAGUUGCUUCUGAUGGCUUUGUUAUAUGGGGCCAGAGCCAUGUGAAUGAAAGCAUGAUUACUGGAGAAUCAAGGCCAGUAGCAAAGAGAAAGGGUGACACUGUAAUUGGAGGGACAGUGAAUGAGAACGGUGUGCUCCAUGUACGGGCAACAUUUGUCGGAUCAGAGAGUGCACUGGCACAGAUUGUAAGGCUAGUUGAGUCAGCGCAAAUGGCAAAGGCUCCUGUCCAGAAGUUUGCUGAUCAGAUAUCUAGAGUCUUUGUCCCACUGGUAAGGCCAUUUACAUUGUAUUGAUCUAAUCUAUGGUCUACUCUUAUGGAAAAAUUCUGAACAAUCACCUCCACGCUUUCAGGUGAUUCUUUUUUCUUUGCUUACUUGGCUUGCAUGGUUCGUGGCUGGAAGGCUCCAUAGCUACCCUAACUCACGGAUACCACCAUCCAUGGAUAGUUUCCAGCUAGCUCUUCAGUUCGGGAUAUCAGUUAUGGUGAUUGCCUGUCCUUGCGCCCUAGGGCUGGCAACUCCAACUGCCGUGAUGGUUGCAACUGGAGUUGGUGCCUCACAAGGCGUUCUGAUCAAGGGUGGGCAGGCUCUGGAGAGUGCACAGAAGGUAUGAAAUAGUGUCAUUUAUUACAUGGACGUACAUGUUUACUGAAAAAUCAAUGAGUUGUUCAUAAAUAUUAAAUUGUGUUUUUUCAUAGGUCGACUGCAUCGUUUUUGACAAGACAGGGACACUAACCAUUGGGAAACCUGUCGUUGUUGACACAAGGCUUCUCAAAAACAUGGUCUUGCGUGAAUUCUAUGACUAUGCUGCUGCAGCAGAGGUAUGUACUACAACUCUUAUGUUUCUCAUCAUCUUUUUGCUUAAUUUGAGGUUGUUUAAAAACAUUUCCUUCUCUUUUUUUUCCAUUUUCAUGGAUGUUUAUCUUGUUUAGGUCAACAGUGAACACCCACUGGCAAAAGCGAUAGUGGAACACGCCAAAAAGUUACAUCCAGAAGAAAACCACAUUUGGCCUGAAGUAAGGGAUUUCAUUUCAGUAACCGGGCAUGGUGUCAAGGCAGAAGUUAGUGACAAGAGUGUCAUUGUGGGCAACAAGAGCUUUAUGUUGUCAUCAGACAUUGAUAUCCCCUUAGAAGCUUCGGAAAUUCUCAUGGAAGAAGAGGAGAAGGCAAGGACAGGGAUUAUUGUGGCUAUGGAUCAAGAAGUUGUGGGCAUAAUCUCUGUGUCUGACCCGAUUAAACCAAAUGCCCAGGAAGUGAUAUCAUACCUCGAGUCCAUGAAUGUCGAGAGUAUAAUGGUGACUGGAGACAACUGGGGGACAGCUAACGCUAUCGGCAAAGAGGUUGGGAUUGAAAAGAUCAUUGCCGAAGCGAAACCAGAGCAGAAGGCUGAGAUGGUGAAGGAACUUCAGGUGAGCUAUUUGGUGCCUUACUUUGUCGCUUUCUUGCUCUUAUCUUGAGUUAUUUCUUAUUUACCAUCUUAAAACCUAAAUCCUUGCAGCUGUCUGGAAGAACCGUGGCAAUGGUUGGCGAUGGAAUCAACGACUCCCCAGCACUCGUGUCAGCUGACGUUGGUCUCGCGAUCGGCGCAGGAACAGAUGUCGCCAUCGAAGCCGCCGACAUUGUCCUCAUGAAGAGCAACCUGGAGGAUGUGAUCACUGCCAUCGACCUGUCCAGGAAAACCUUCUUCCGCAUACGGAUGAACUAUGUCUGGGCGCUCGGCUACAACGUCAUUGGCAUACCGAUCGCCGCAGGGGUGCUGUUCCCGUCCACCGGGUUCCGCCUGCCGCCGUGGGUUGCCGGCGCUGCAAUGGCGGCUUCGUCUGUCAGUGUCGUUUGUUGGUCCCUGUUACUGAGGUACUACAAGAGUCCAAAGAUUGUUAGCAAUUGAUGACACAGGAACGACGGGCAUGUAAAGUAUGCCAAGGAAAGAAAAGAAAAGGAUCCACUCAGAGUGGUCGCUCCUGGUGGAAUGAAUAGGGAUGCUAACAAUUUCAUGAAACAAGAUGUACAUAUGCGGUAGAAUGUAUGGAUGUCAGGUACGUUUUCAUGUAUAUAUACUUUCUCCGUUCCAAAUUAUAGAUCGUUUUGGCUUUUCUAGAUGCAUAGAUAUUAUUAUGCAUCUAGACAUAGGGUAUAUCUAAGUGCAUAACAAACCCUAUAAAUCUAAAAAACCAAAACGACUUAUAAUUUGGGACGGAGAAAAUACAUGCUAUCUGGUUUUCAGACGUUAGUCACCAAGGUGACACGCACUAGUUCCGGCUGAAGAAACAUCCCCCGAGUCCACAUAAGCUUUGGUGAUCCUGUGAAAUUGUAAUCGCGAAUCUGGCUGCUGAGUGAGCCAUGAUGGUUUUGAACUGAUGCUGUAAGCCUGUAAAACACUAAACACUCUGUCCUGAUGCAAUGCAACGGACAGGGACGAGAUCCCUGGAAUUCUAGAAAGAAAGAAAGAGCGGAACAAAUUGGAAGUAGGAGAGCGUCAGAUCGAGGUGCCAACGGGAUCGUAUUCGACCGAAAAAACCAUGCAGAGAAGCUGGUGCCUUUGUGCUGCUAAUGUUGUUAGGGCGUUGUUGAUUUUAUCAUUUUUUGCACGGUCGUUUUCCUUCCUGGCCGGGGCCGAUGUUAGUGUUAGUUAAUUACCUUACGACUAAGCAGCCAACUACUUUAAUGAUGGCACAACAGGCGCACUCGCAACAGAAAGAAAUCCUGAUGAUGAGGUGUUGCUGUAAUAAUGCGCGUGCCUGAGUGGCUCCCAGUGCCACCAGUAAAAAGAACCAAAGAUCAGUGUGCUAGGCCCAUGGCAUCACCCAGCAAACCCAGAAAGGGUCAGUGGCUGAUGAUUUGAUUGUGAUCGCUGACCGGCGACCAACCCGGUCACUCUCACGACCCGCACCGCACGGCGCACCCGACGAUGGAUCCAAAGCUUUUCCUGGUUGGUUGCAUUGCAGCGUACGUCGACCGACCAGAGUUGAACGGCCAUGCACUCAUGCGGGACGUCAGAAGCUUCUCGAAACAUGCUCAGGUACGCAAACGAGCACGCAACGUCAGCAUCUGCGUCAGAGCGUAUAUCGGCGUUUCACGAAUUCACGUGCCUUUGACAGCCACCGCGUACGUCUACGUGGUUACGUCUUACGUGCACGGUGCAUGGCCGCGUACGCAGUGUGUGAGUAGACGCGAUUGGAUGGAACGGAACCAGGCCAGGAUGCUUCCAGAAGCUGCCGCGACUUUUUCGGCCUCGCUUUUCACACUAGUUCCAACCGUGCGAAAGGGGGGCUGCAGGUUUGCGCAAACUGAAAACGAACCGCCCUUCCUUCCUUACAGACUCGCCGGCCCACGGCCCAGUUGCUUUUGGUGGGCUCCGGUUGAACUGAAGUCAGCAGGGCCGUGAACAACCCCAUACCUCGAUCUGGCCAUCCAGCGCGCACGAUUCCGUCCACACGCGGCGAGCUCCCGGCCGCGCGGCAGACGCGGCGCCGACGAGCUCCUCUCUCCCCUCCGCGUGGGUCGCACGCUGCUGGCUGAGGCGUUCACACUUCAUCGUUAUCGUCUGUCACAGCGUCCGUCAUCCAAUCCAACCCCCAACCCCCCGUGGGCCUGGCCGGUAUAAAUCCGCCCAGCCGGUGACGUCUCGUCCCGGCCCACAACCAACCACAGCUCCGCCGCUUCUGCUGCUCUCUCCGCUCCUCGGCGUCGUCUGCACGCUACCGCCUCGCAGCCGCUCCCCGACUCCGCUCAAUUCUUCGCCGCCGCUGCUCGCCGUUCGCCCCAGCAUGGCCGCCGCGUCGUCCACCACCUCCGUCCACGACUUCACCGUCAAGGUCAGCCCCGUUCCUCUCGCCGUCCUCUCCCCAGCGUAGAUUCCGGAGGUGAUGGGAAUGGGACCCUGUAAUUUUUCACAUGGAUCGUCUGCUUAGCUUGCCCGGAGAGGCCCCUAGCCCGAUCCCGCUGCGUUGUGCUUACUCUGGAUUCCAGUGACUCCUGAUUCGUGCCGUGUGAAUUUUGCUGCGGAUCCGUUUGAUUGGCUUGCAAAACGACUGAGUUUGUUACCCAGUUGCUAGCUGCUUCCCUGAAUUUUCUGAACUUUAGAUGCAGCAGCGUCCGAUUUUGCAGAGAGAGUCUAACGAGUGCGUUUUGCCUGUGCGUUGUGUGCAGGAUGCAAGCGGGAAGGAUGUUGACCUCAGCACCUACAAGGGGAAGGUUCUCCUCAUUGUCAACGUCGCAUCCCAGUGGUAUGAAUCAUCUGCAUAACCUUGUCCUCCUAACGCGCCUUGCUCUGGUAUGUUCAAGUUAGCUAGCACAUAGUAACUAGAACUUGGGAUGGUACUAUUGUAAUUGUUUGGGCCAUUGCAAAAUUGUAUCAGUAAUAAGGUCGUUGAUGUGCUUGGAAUCAUUUGUGCCUACUUAAUAUAUUCUGUAAAAUAAUGUUUGUCUGUGCUUACUCAUUUCAUUGUCUGAUGUAGACAUCUAUGUUUGGUUGGCAAUAUAGAAGACAUUAUUCUGCACACUGCUAAUUAUUGUACUGUGACUGAUUAUUUCAGUGGAUUAACUAACUCCAACUACACUGAGCUGGCCCAGCUCUAUGAGAAGUACAAGGACCAAGGUGUGUACUUAAUCCAUUGCCUUUGUAUAUUCUCUGUCUUCCAUUACUUGUCUAUUUUCAUGGCAAUAUGGACAAUGAUUUAUUUUGUCCAAUGCCGAUUGUUCAUCGAUUUAAACAAUUUCAGCUGUUGGUGGUGCUAAUCAGUGAGUACAAUUGUUAAUUUGUGGUUUGUAGGCUUUGAGAUCCUGGCUUUUCCAUGCAACCAGUUUGGCGGGCAGGAGCCUGGCACCAAUGAGGAGAUUGUCCAGUUUGCCUGCACACGCUUCAAGGCCGAGUACCCCAUCUUUGACAAGGUAAAAGUUCUAUGCUAGUUGAUGCAUAGUAGGAUACUAGGAUAUGGCUGUCUUAAUACAAACAUACAGUUUUCUGACUUGGCAGAAUGAUGUGCGGGUAUUAGUGAUGACCUCUACCCAUGUAGAAUAUUAUUCCUUGUGGAGUAGUACUGAGCCUAAGCUCUUAUUACUUGUCAGGUUGAUGUCAACGGUAACAAUGCCGCACCCAUCUACAAAUUCCUGAAGUCUAGCAAGGGUGGCCUCUUCGGUGACAGCAUCAAGUGGAACUUCUCCAAGUUCUUGGUUGACAAGGAGGGGCGUGUUGUGGAUCGCUACGCCCCGACCACUUCCCCUCUGAGCAUCGAGGUAAACUUCCAACACCGAGUUUUGCGUUUGUUGUACAAGCUUAACCAGUAUGCUAUCUUGAGGCAACUUUAACAUUUUUCCCCAUUCUGUGCAGAAGGAUAUCAAGAAACUGCUUGGGAGCUCUUAAACCAUCGGGCUGGAACCUGUAGAAAAACCUGUACUCCUGCAUUGCUCUGAGCGCUAAAAUUUACAAUAAUGCGGUGUUAAUAAAGUAGUGCUCCAUAUAUCCAGGGGUUGCAGUACAUGCUCUAUUUCCCUUGCAUGAACUCUGUACUUGUAUAUUUCGUUUGAAUGGAGAUGAGGUGCCUAUGGUUAUUGAGUUCUCGGGGAACAGACGCAUUGACAUGUUAUUUCUUCAGGCUUCAGCUUGACGUAGGUGUUGAUACUUGCAUAUGUGGAGUUGAUGGUGAACACGAGCUGAACGUGAUCCACAAUACUAGAGUCAUGCAAAAAAAAAAAAUCUGUUUUCUGCAGUGCAGAGGGAGGACAGAGAAGACGAAAAACAAAUUUCAAAUUAGCCGAGCAAGUUCCUGUUUGGAAGUAGAUAUUUGGAACUUGGAUUUGGCUUGGGCAUUUGAUACCCUCAAAUUCCAUCAUCUGGAAUCGGUCCGAGGCAUUGGAAUCGGUCCGAGGGAUUGGCGCCCAAUAUCGCGGACCUUUCCCGCAUAAAGGAAAGAACCUGCCCACAAUUUCGAGGUCUCCUGCUAUAUAUUGGCUCGAAAUCGCUUCCCCUCACUUCCCCGACCCCCGCAUGUACGCCUUCGCAACCCACGGCUCUACGCACCGCAUGUACGCCUUCGCAACCCACGGCUCUACGCACUCGGGAAAAAAGAAGAGCGAGCGACUCGCAAGAGAGAGGCGGUGGCGAUGGCGGAGGUGACAGGAGGUUGACCCCCACGGCGAAAGCGCUAUCUCCCAGCGUCCUUGGCGUCCUCGUUCUCGUGCAUCUCCAACCAUCCUCCGUCAUUCUCCCUCUUGCUACUCUCAUCUACUUCCCCUUUCAUGCUGAAUCCUCCAUCUUUAAUCUGUACCUCCCUCACGGAUCAUCCAGAUCAAAUGAUCAAUUGAGGCUUCUUUUCUUCUCCCUCCAUCGAUUCAUUCUUUUCAAACCCUAACCCCUUUUCUCUGGAUUUAGCAGGUUACUUCUGUCAAGUGUUCGUUGUUCCUCGUUCCGAUUGAAGGUAUGUGUGCCUAAAAUUGAUAUGUUGUUGGUGUUCCUAUAUGAAUUUUUUUCAUGCCGUGCUCUUUGAAAAUCAUGUGUGUGCCUGCCUGUGUGCAUUGUAGUUGCAUUAUGUCAGAUCUUGAGUUGGUUUCCUUCAUUAAUGAAGAAAACAAAAGGAGAAAGAGGAGGAAGAUUAUAUUCACAGAACUAUAUUUUGAGGCGGUUGUUCUUGGGCUUGCAUAUCUUAGUUCGCAGCAGGGGCCAAGGGAUUUAGGGUGCUUUAAUGAUGAUGAGCGCAGGCAUACUCUUAGGAAGUAUUUGCUGAAGGAAAUGUAUGAUAGUUCUGAAGUUACAUGCUAUAAUGAGCUACGUUUAACUAAAAGAAACUUUCAUGACCUGUGCAUCAUGUUGCAUGAAAGUUGUGGUCUUCGUGAUAGUGUUUAUAUUGUUGUGGAAGAAAAGGUUGCUAUGUUCUUACUGGUAGUUGGGCAUGGUAUAAAAAUGAGAGUGUUGCGUGGCACUUAUAAGCGCUCUUUAGAGACUAUCAGUAUGCACUUUUCUAUGUGUUAUCAGCUAUUCUAUCUUUAAGUGGAGAGUUCAUUAAGCUUCCUAAUCCUUCAAUUCAACCUCCGAAUGAUUGCAAAUGGAAGUGGUUUGGCAAUGCUCUUGUGCAUUAGAUGGGUGUCAUGUUGAUGUGUGUGUUGGUGUGCCUGACCAAGGAGGUAAAAAACAGAAAGCAACACAUCACCACUAACAUGCUAGGUGUGGUUGACUGGAACAUGAAAUUUCUGUAUGUUUUUCCUAGUUGGGAGGGUUCAACUUCUGAUUCAGGAGUUCUGUGUGAUGCAAUGAGUCGCCAAGAUGCAUUUGUCGUACCUCAGGGUAUGACCUUUACACUUGGCAAUUUAUUUCUUUGUUUUGUUAGCUAUCUAAUUUAUUUUUUUCAUAAUAGGAAAAUAUUAUUUAGUUGAUGCUAGUUAUACCAAUGGACCUGGAUUUCUAGCUCCAUUCAGAUCCACUAGGUACCACUUAAAAGAGUGGGUUUCAAGUCAACAGCAGCCUAAAACUCUCAACGAGUUAUAUAACUUGUCAUUCUCGUGCUAGAAAUGUUGUGGAAAGAACUUUUGGUUUGUGGAAGAAAAAAUGAGCAAUCUUGCGUUCUCAAAGUUUCUUUGAUAUAAAGGACCAAGUAACAAAUGUGUACAUGUGGUGAAAAAAAUCAAUCUCAAUUGCAAGUGCUAACUACAAACUAAUAUUGUUGCUGAUCCGAAUUAUUAAUGCUUGUUGUGUGUUACACAACUUUACAAGAGAUAGACAACACCAAAUGGAUGAUUUAUUGCUACCCGAAGUGGAUGAUGAACUAGCUGCUAUGGCCAAUGAGUCUAUAGAUGAUGCUACCUUAAUUACAAGUGUUCAAGUUACUACUGAAUGGAACACCUUUAGGGACCAGCUAGCUAAUGACAUGUUUGCUGAAUACCUUGUUAGGCAUGGUGAACUAGAGAUGGAGUAGGUUGUGUGGGUUAGCAUUCUUUUGUGAUAGCUAGCUGAUGGUGCCUUUUGUGAUAGCUAGCUGAUGGUGCCUUUUGUGAUAUUUUGAAAAUGCAUCAUCCUACCACAUGGCAUUUGUUAUCCUUUACUUAUAGCACAUGGCUGCAGCAAAAGCAAAGAGAGUUUACCUCACAUGGACAGAUGAGAUGGACGCUGCCUUGUUGGUUGUACUUGUUGAGCAUCACAACAAUGGUGACCACUCCCAAAAUGGAUGGAAGCCACAUGUCUACAAUGCUGCUAUCUAGAAUGUACAUGACAAGUGCAAUAUGGACAUCACAAAAGAAAGCAUAUCAUCUAGGUGCAAAACUUUUGACAAGCACUAUGAGGUCAUUAGUAAGAUACUGUCACAGAGUGGUUUUGGUUGGGAUUGAGAAAAUAAUAAGCUAUCAAUUGAUAGUGAGGAUGUCUUGUAUAGAUAUGUGGCGGUAAGUACAUGGAUAUUUGGUUUCUCACCGUUUUACUUUUAUAAUAAGACAAGUCACUUGUACUGUGUCUUUGUUUUGUUCAGAAUAACAAGGCUGCAGCUUGUUACAAGAACAAGGUGGUGAAGAAUUGGAAUGCAAUCAGCACUAUUUAUUCUACAGGUCAUGCCAAUGGUGAUGGUGCCAAGACAGCUGCUGAGAGUGCACAAGAUUCACAUGAAGAAUGUAGUGAAGCAUCCCCAGAUUUACCAAAAAAAGCAGCGAAUUGGUGAAGCAAUUCUUUGCAUGCUUGGAGAUAAGAAGACUUCAUUUCGAGAUGCUCUAAAAUCCACCGAGUCAUUACCAUUGCCUCAGGUCACUUCUCCUGCUAAAAUACUUGCUGCACUUGAACAAAUACUAGAUUUAGCUAGACGUGACCUUUUGCAGGUUUUAUGGGAAGCUGAUCCUUAAUGAGCGUUUAUUCCAAGCGCUUAUGGAACUACCUAUGGAAUUCAGGAAAGAAUUGCUCCUUAUGUUGAAUUAUAGCAAUGGUGGCUGAUUAAGAGAUGUAAUGUACGCUUGCUGUUAUGUAAUAUGGAACUGCCUAUGUACACUUGCUGUUAUGGCCCCUUUGAAAUUAUGUAUUGUAAAAUGUCGUGGCACUUGCAAGAGAGUUGGAUUAUUGAUCAUCAAGUAUUGACUCUAUAAUAGAUGCUUGUGAUCAACAUUUAUGUGCUAUUGUCAUCGAUUAUUUUCCAUGUUUUUAAUGAUAUUAUUUCAGUUUCUACUAUUUUUUCUGAAUAUUUUCAUGUUUUUUUGUAAAGUGAUAAUAUAAUCAUCCAAUAAUUAUGCAAGUUGUGAAAUACAUAUUAUAAUGCAUUUACAAUGUGACAACCCAGACUGACUACAAUUCAACGUUUAUUAUACAUCCAAACAGGAAUUAGAAUUGGUUGAUUCCAGCGAUCAACUACUUGCACAUCCAAACAAUAGCACUGGUAUUUAAUAUCAUUUCCAAUUCCCCUCAGCUUUGGUAUUCUGGGCCAAUUCAAUUCUUCAGUCUGAAUAUCUACAUCCAAAUAGGUGAGUGCGAUUUCAAGGAAUCGGACUUGUGCCCGGCUACAUGCCCACUGGCUCUGGUAGGCACCCGACGCUCGCUCGGUUCUGGUUUGACUUUAGAGGUCAGCUCCAAGUCAAAAUCUUUUUCAAAGAAAAGACCCAACUCAAAAAAUGAGAGAGGUUUUGGUUUCGCGCGUAGAAAAACACGGUGUCAGAGCAACUCCAAAAGACUGCUAAUAUUACCCUUAAUAUCUAUUAAGGGGAAAAAUGAAAAAAAAGAACUCCAACAGUUCCCUAAACAUUUUCUAAUUUUUUUGCGACGCUAAAAAACAGCCUGCCACCGCGUAAAUUUUAGCGUUCGCGUUGCUUCCCCAAUCUCGAUUCUCAUGACCGAUUCUCACGCACCUCGCCACAGCGUAAAUUUUAGCAUUCGCGUUGCUUCCCCAAUCUCGAUUCUCACGACCGAUUCUCACACACCUCGCCACAACUGCACCGUAGGCACCAUCUGCCCGCCCUACGCCGUCGUCUACGGCUCCGGCUCCGCCGGCGGCCUGCUCAUCGCUGGUACCCUCCGCGCGCCGGGUCGCCGCGCCGUCACCAAAUUCGUCGCCGGCUUGCAGCCUCGUGUCCGCGUUCCCGUGCCCGGCCGCUGACGCCGCGCUCCGGCCGCAGCUCCCGAGGCCAUCUGCCUCGUCAUGGUCACCGACUUGGGAGGCGCCGGAGACGUGGGCAGCGGCCUGGCCAUCAUUCUCGGGAGCUUCCAGCAACAGAACUACUACGUGGAGUACAACCUUGGGAAGGAGAGGCUGGGGUUCCGACGGCAGCCGUGCGUCGUCGUGAGCGACCGAGCUCGCUCAGGGAGCUUCUUGCUGGCUAUUUCCACGAACUAAUUGCUUGUUCCACGUAUUGUAGCUUGGGUUUGCAGAUUGUACUGCUAAUAAAAUUACUACACUAUCACGUAUCAUAUCAUGUGAUUCAUAGUCAAGCUGAGCGUGCGGGCGGGGUACCGGGCCUCGAAGUCAGCGACGUGAUCUCCUGGUGACGCGGCGCCGCUGGAGAUCGCAAGGGGCUGCUGAUUUUGACGGAGAAAAAAUCAACGACGCGGAGGCCUGGUGGGGAAGAAACAGACAAUCAUAAUACGAUGAUGCGGCCUGUUUCGAAAUAUUAAGGACUAGUUAUUAGCGUUCUGCUGUGAGCUGAUAUAUUUUUUAGGUAAAUUUUUUUUAGCAUAGUAAAUAUAUUUUUUGAGCUGCUAUAUAGCAUUUUGGGGAAUAAUUUUUUUGGGGAACUCUAUCAUCCAAGUUUCAUGUAGAUGCUAGUGGGUGGAUGGUCGCUGCACGGGAACUCCGUGAGUCCGUGGCUUGCAUGCUGCAUGCACUUGGCCGGUGGCAAGCGAGCAAGUUCACUAGUUCUGUAGUUCAGAGCUCUGAACAAAACUAGCAAGUGCACAAACGAGUUCCUAUUCGUAGGCGUGUGCUACAAAACUGCAGCCGUGGUCAGAUUGGGCAUUAGCUGAACAGAACAGAGCUUGCACGCUUUGCACUGCUACAGGUUAGAAACUACCUGCAGAAAUUAUCACUACACCGCUGCCAACCGGUGAUCGAAGCGAGCAGACAAGCAAACUCUUUCAUCAGUUUCUUCCGCUGCAUAAACUGUUUAUCUUCCCAGACUAGUGUGUUUUCGGUUUUAGAACUUCAUUCGAAUUUCUGAUUAAGCUUCACAGUUCAUCGUUCAUCCCCAAACUGGGUAAGGUCGGGCUCGGCCACCGAGUCCAGGCUCCGCCGGCCACGCCCAACCUCCAGACCGCCCGACGAGACGCGCCAACACCGUUCCAUCCAAGCUCGAUCAAGUAUGUCUACUGCGAUGGCCGCAGCAGUGACUCCUCCAACAUCGGCGACGACGACCGCGGCCGUGGUAGAUCCACCAAAUCCGGCUGUUCCUGGUCCGCCGACGGCGCAGGCGCAGGCGCGGGUGUGGGCGAUGGCGAUGCCGGCGGCGGCGCCUUCCACGGCAGCACGAGAGGAGGGGCUGGAGGGCCUCCUGGGUCAUGGCGUUGUCGUCCGUGCUGCAGGCCUGCAACGCAGCGCCGCCUGGACCGGAGCUCGCGGCAUGGAAAUCCAUGCCUCCAUGGCCGCCGCCUCCUCAUUCGAGUGUGCAGCGGAUGGUUUGAAGGAGGAGGGGGCAUCGAGCAGAGGCAGCCCGAGCGCGGAAACGGGCGCAGGGGUCCCUACAAAUUUCAGAAUGGUCCCUCCACCAUGACUGCUGGCGAGUUCCCCUUCCCGCGCCGCUCCGGCGAUUGCGUCGCCGUCAGCCCGUCGCGUCCGGAGCUCCGCUCCUCCUCCUUUGGAUCUCCCCCCUCCUCGCUGAAUCCCUCCUGCCGCGCCCGCCUCCUUUCACCAUUGCCAGGCCCCCGGUCGUCGUCGGUCGUCGGGGCCAUCGCGGCGCGCGCGGCUGGCCGUGGUUUGGCGCCGUCAUUCAGGCGCGCAGGAGCGAGCCGUCGCGACAUGCAACUGGUGGUGUUUGGGCUAGGAACCGUGUGAACGCUCGCCGCCGUCACCGUCGCCAAAGGCCCACACCGUUUUGGCUUAGGAAUCGUGAGCGCUACCUCGCCGCCGCCAUCGCAUGCAGUCCUAUGCACGGUCUUGCGGUAGAUCGGGCAGGCAAAACUGUGGUGGGUUCGCAUGCCGCUUUGAUGCCUGGAGCUCCUCAGCCUGCUGUAGCUUUUCUACAUCUGCAACACGCAAGUACUUUCUCCAGAACUGAGCUGGUGCAAAAUAAUUGAACAGUGUGAUCGUCAUCAAAAUCUUUGUGUGGUCCGGUCGGCAGUGCGGUGUGAAUUAACAACCGGCAGUUUCAACAGCUCUGAACACUGGAUACUGAAAAUCUGGUAUACUGCUUGCGAAGCGAGGUUGGCCAUUGGGGCAUUGACCAUCAAAUGGCUUGGCUCCUAAAUUGACCUGGGGAAAAGAAAAAGUAUAGCUUGCAAAAUUUUCAAAAAGCCCCCCCUACCCCCCCCCCCCCCCACCCACCCAAAAAAAAACAACAGCAAUGCAAUGUGCACGAACAACUCUGAACGCUGUGCAACUCUGAAAACUAACACUAUCACAUUGAUUGCAAACGCCCAAGUCACCGAUCACAGUUCACAAGCAACCAGCAUCACAGUUAGCAUCAGCACAGACAAUUGAAGUCACGCCGAAACGUACUGAUUGUGGCUGAGGUCAACAGUAGAAACAAAAACCAUCAACUAAUGGAAAUUUUGUGAAGAAACAAACAGGAAACAAUAGAGAGCUGUUCAGUAACUCAAGCUUGAUAGAACUGAGCCCUCAAGUGCUGACCCAUAUCAUCAGACAACAUUCACCAUCCACGACUAGUUCCAAGAAUGCAAAAACAAGAUAGCCAAAGAAAAUUUUAAGAACCUCUUUAACAGAACCUGUAAAAAAAUAGAACUCGGUAUGAACUCUGAAUUGCUUUGACAAUUUGAGAAAGAAAUUGGACGGGAAUCCCAACUUUAUUAAUUUACUUUACAACAAAACCAAGAUAACAUACCUGGGACGUUACAAGAUCUUUGCAACUUGCAAGUGAAUGAAUUUGAGAUGAUAAGUAACACAGAUCAUUUUGAGUAGGAAAUUGUGCUGAUUGUACACAAGAAACUGGAAUUGUGUUUUUCAUUAGUUUUUUAAGAUUAAAACUUAAUGGCAGCUGGGAGUUAGACAUAAUAUUCAGAGAUAGACUUGGCAUACCACAUGCAUCAGGUCAUAAGAUUUUCAGAACAACUAGUCAGAUUUUCAACAUCCAAAUCUACGGGGAUUUGGCACACAAGAAAAUAACAACCAAAGAAGCAACUCGUGUAAAGCACUAUUGCGAGAAAUUAGCAAGCAUUGCUGAGAACAAUUCAUACCAAAAUGUUGUGAUUCUCAUCCUAAGAUGCACAUUCAUCAACAUAAAUUUUACAUUGAAAUGGUACAGGCUAAUACUUCCAAAUCAAUUAACAAGAACCUAUUACCUUCACCAAAAAUCCAUUAUCUUUCGUCCUAACACUGGAACUGAUCCAAAGACGACAAGAACCAGAUGUUUUGUUCAUCAGGGGUAAACAUCGCUCUGAAAAAAAACAGGAAACCAGCUCAUCUCAAUCAGUUUCAAGAAUUAAAAAUACAGACACACUGAAGGAAUUCAAGAACCGAUCCAGAUCAUUAGACAACAUGCACCAUCCUCGAUCUCUACUAAGAACUUAGAAACAGAAAUGAUGAAAUAAUCCUUCUAGAACUGAUCCUGACCAUCAGAGAAGCACAACCCUCGACCAGUCCCCAGAAUGCAAAAACAAGAAAACCAAAGAAUCCUUAAGAACUUAAUCCACACCGCUCAACGAGAGGCGUCAACACCGUUCCAUCCAAGCUCGAUCAAGUACUGCGACAGCCGCAGCAGUGGUGGAUCCUCCACAUCCAGCGACGACUGCGACGGUGGUGUGUCCUCCAACCCCGAUGAAGACUCCGGCUGUUCCUGGUCCACCGACGCCGUACGCGACGGCGAGGCAAUCGCCGGAGCCGCGCGGGAAGGGGAACCCGUCAGCAUCAUGGUGGAAGGACCAUUCUGUAGGGAUAUUUAUGUAAAUAUUUGGAUCGCGAUUAUUGAUGGCGAUCCUAUUUAGGGAGUUUUGUGUAAAUAAAUGGAUCGCGACUAUCUGAUUUAGGGGGUUUUGUGUAAUAAUUGGAUCGUGAUUCGGUUGAGGUGGCUUUCUGAACAAAUGUUGACCGCCGCCAGCGAUGGCCGUCUCCGAGUCCGCCGGCCGGCCCCCGCCCAUCUUCCGUGCUCGGGCAGCCCAACUACCGGAAAGUGUUCUCUGAUCCUGUCGCACCCUAAAUUUUUUGAAUUUCAGAUGUGAUUAAAAUAUAAUAAACAAUGGGUUUUCUCAUAAUUCAAAAUGNNNNNNNNNNNNNNNNNNNNNNNNNNNNNNNNNNNNNNNNNNNNNNNNNNNNNNNNNNNNNNNNNNNNNNNNNNNNNNNNNNNNNNNNNNNNNNNNNNNNAGUCCAUGCACGAUAUAAGUCCAAGCAUGCAUUUACUCGACAACGCCAUGUCCGCGAGAGGAGACCCUCCAGCCCCCUACGCCAUGACCGACGACCGACGUAACGGUCAAAGAAGGCCGAGGAGAGGAGAAGGCACAGUACGAGCGGAACUCAACAACGCAACUCGGCGGGCGCGGGUGCGGGGGCUGGCGACGCCGGCGGCGGCGCCUUCGGAGCACGAGGCGAGGGGUCAGUGCGAACUGCGAAGCCACUCGUCGGUGUCGUCCUUGCACUGUCGGUCUCGCCGCAGUGGAACACGUGGUUGCAGGAGAGGGUGAGCACCAAAUUUUCGGGUGAGCACCACCUCGAGGGCGUCCAUGCUGUCCUGGCAGAUGGCGCAGUUGUCCUGGGUGGUGACGCCGCCGAGCGUCCUGACGCGCAGCCGCCGACACCCUCUCUUCAAGCUGCUGAGGUAGGAGUACGCGCACACGCUCCCGGCGAUGACGCCGGGAACGGAAAUCCCCGCGGCGAGGCCGGCGAGCGUGGUGAUGGGCGGCCGCCGGGCGGGCUGGCGGGCCCUGAUGACAAGGGCACGAGGACGUGUGUGCCGCGCACGCCGGGGUAUGUGCAGCAAUAAUGACCACGACCAGCCAGCUGCGGUGGACCAGGCAGCAGCUCGGAGACGCCCUCGGACCUCCAUCUCCUGCUGCGCGGAAGCCGUGAGCGCCCGCGCCCCACGGUGGAGGCCAGCGCGGCGUGGUUGCCAUAGGUGGCCCCGGGUCACGGGGUGGACGGUAGAUGAAAUACCGUCCACCCCCUGGGCAUCUCCUGUCCGUUGUUCGGAUUUCGGACUUGUGCGGCUUGUAUUGCCCGCAAGGUUGCCGCUCCCUAGGCUGGGCCUUUCUUGCUCUCGCGUCUCUUCUUGGGUUGGGCUCAAGCGUGCGUGUUGGGAUGGCUGGGCAUUUGUGCGGGCCCUUCGUCUACAAAAAACCGCCGCACAAAUACCCGUACGAAGACGAAGGGGGCGCAGCUAUCUGUAUACGAUUGGCUACUACGGGCCCACACGUAUUAUUCUUUUGGAAGGUUGUUUGGAGUCUAGCUCUACGACGAUAAGUUUACAUGUGUAAGUACUCCUAGCAAGACGCAAUAUUACAAUCGACCUGCGCUAGCUACAUCGUUUCUGCAUGACUGCAUCUAAUAAGCUCUCGAGACGCCGAUAGAGACGCUAGCUACUCGCGGCUUUGUGGUUUGAUGAAGUCUUGAAGAGCUGCAGGAAAGCAUCCAUCUCGUGCGCACACGGAGAACAACCAAAGUGGAAGAAGGUACGCACAGUUUCCUGCAUACCCUAUAGCAGUCAGCUGUCACAAACUGCGUUCUUUUUCUACGUGCCAAAUUUUCACCAAAAUUCCUCAAAAAAAAUUGCCUCCAAAACCUAAAAACCGAAAAGCUGAUUUUUUUUUGAAAAGCUUCAAAACCUAAAUGAUAAGUUAUUAUCGACCAAUGUUGACGAUGACAGCUAUUAUUCAAAAAAAUUUCAUUGACACUUGCCUCCAAUGCAGUUCAAUGGAGCUAGUAAAGGAUUUAGCGUGUACCGCCACAGCGAGUUUGGUACUGAUGAUUUGAACGAAGGCGUAAGGCCUUGUCCAACGGUUAGAGCUAGUGACCAGCUCAAAGGCUUACGUGUCUAUUCCACGUUAUUAGAAGAGAGAGCUCACCCAUCGGUUCAGCUCUUGGCACGCGUAUCGAAAUGUUCCUGGGAUCCACAUAUAUGUACGCAUUGUUUACUCCAGAUUUCCGUCUUUCUUCUUGCUGGUUGUCUUCGUCGCGCUCCGCCUGGGCGUCGGCGUCCGCGGCCGCUGCCGCUGCCGCUGCACUACACACUGUCACACCCGCCCGGCGGCGUCUCGUCCAGCUCGCUCGCAUCCACCAUGCCCACCGAGAGGCAGGCCUCGCUGUCGCUGGUCGUUGCCGUCGCCCUCGCCGCUGACAUCCUCGUCCAUGGAUGCGGCUAUGGCGACGUGAGCUCGACCUCCUCCGCGGGACCGCUCCGUGCGGCGGUGGCCAUCGCCGGCGUCAAAGCACCGACGCGCGGUGCAGCCCAGCUGCAUCCUGUAGUGGAAGCUGCCGGUGCUUGCAAGGCUACCCGGCCGCGCGGCGAGCGCAGGAGCCGCUGCCUCCUCAGUCCUCACCUCCGGUGGCUUCUUCUCGCGCCGGCGCCGACGGCCGGUUUCUCCCGCGAGCCGGAUCUGCACCGCUAGACGCUCCGGUGAGCUGAGGUCUCCGGCAGCCGGCGCGAUUCCAUCCUGCCUCUCGUCACAGCGGUGGUCGCAGAAGCCGCUGCCUCCUCGCCUCCGGCCGAACUUCUGCCGCCGGCGAUGGCCUCUUCCGCGAAGACGAAUGGAAAACAAAAAAGAGACGGGAGGGGGAGAGGACGUGUCAUUGGGCCCGGCGUGCAGCUCGUAGUCCGUUCGAGCUAAGCGUGGAAACAACUCUCCUCCAUGUAGAUAAAAUGCUGAGCUAGCUGACCUGUGACUGUGAGGAGGCCUAACGGUGAGAGGCACAUCUUGCACCGUGAGGUGGCGUUGCGCAUCGGGUCUUGCAUGGUCCGUCAUGAGUUUCGUCUCUUGAAGGAAAAGGGCAUGCUCAGCUGGCCAGCUUACAAGAAAAACCGCCCGUGCAUCGUACGGGCACUCGCCACUCUUAACGAUGCUCUCAGAAGGUACAAGCAGCGUAGUCUGAGAGACGGGUAUUUCUACCUGGUUCAGAAUCCACGCAAGUACGCGAUGUCUGUAUGCAGUCCGUUGUUCACUGUGCCACGGGAAGAUGCCAUGAAGAAAAUAAAACUUCUUCGCCGGAAGAGACAAGCUGUUUCCCGUGCGAGCAACGCCUCUCCAGAUGUGCAAGAUCAAAUUCGAAUUCAUCUGGAGAAGUGGUUUCAGAGGAGAGCACAAAAGGACUUAUGCAUAUGGUGUUGCAGAUGAUGCUUAUGUGAUAGGGCUAGCCUAUAUCAUGAUACACGUAUGAUACGGUGAGCAUGUCGACUUCACAAUUUUGGUAUGAAAUUUAUUUUAUUUUCCAUCUUGAAUGGUAGUUUCGUGUCAUCGACAGUUUGUCACAUUUUUCUCAAAUAUUUUUAUGGUCACCAUUCAACGUGCAUAAAAAUAAAGUUGUUUCACUGGAUCUUUUGCAAGCCAAAUUACUUUUUAUAGAUAUUUCAUGGCCUGGUUAGUGAGACUAGUGUGUUGUUAUAGAUACUUUUUUCCUAUAAAUUUGAUCAAUAAAAAAAAGUUUUACUUCAGACAAAGUUAAAACAACUUAUAAUUUGAAUGGCGGAAGUAAAAUUUUUGGCAUACACAAAUCUCGAAUUUUCUCCACGGUCUAUAUCACAAUAAAUCGAUUCCGACCCCCUACUCAUAAUGCCUAGUUCUUUUGAUCCAUCACUGUCCCUCGAACCAUCAAUUCACCAUGAAAACUCAAAUCAAGCUGUUAAGAAGAAACGAAAACACGAUUCAUCUGGUUAUGUAAUCAAUGAAGUCAUCGAGGUCCUUCCGUGAUGAACCGCCCUCGGCAAUGGAGGCACGGAUGGACUCGCGGAGUGUGUUGGCCUUCUUUCGCACCGCCAAGCCUUCAUCAUGUACCAUCGCCAUCUCAAUCACCUCGCGGAUGACCUCUGCAGGUGUGACUGCGUUGUGCUGCUCCCAUGCCCUCACCAGGAUUCCAGCCUUGAGGUACUUGCACACAAGCUCAGCCACCAACGGCUGGUCGGAGUGCAUGGGCCAGGCGAGCAUCGGCUUGCCGUGGCUCAGGCUCUCCAUGGCCGAGUUCCAGCCACAGUGGCUCAUGAACGCCGCAGUGGCGCCGUGCGCUAGGAUCUCAAGCUGCGGCGCCCAUGUGGUGAUCACCAGCCCAAUGCCUUGGGUUUGCUCGGUGAACUCGGACAGGAACUUAGCGUGCCGGCUCUCCAUAGCUUCCUCCUCGUGCACCACGCCGCGAUCCGCGUCACGCAGAACCCACACGAACCGCUGCUUACUGUCACGCAACGCCGCGGCAAGCUCCGCGACCUGCUCCGCCAUCAACGACGACGUCGUGCCGAACGACACGUACAGCACCGACGCCUUUGGCUGCUUGUCGAGCCAGUUGAGGCACUCGGGCCGCGUCUGUUGCCCUUCCGCUGUGCAUGUGGCCGCGUCGAGAAGCGGGUUCAUCGGCCCAACCGCAAAUACCCUCUUCCCCCGGUACUCCGGGUCACCAGCCACCGCGUCGAUGAACUCGUCGCCCUCGAUGGCACGGCUUGUGUUCAUGACUACUCCGGCGAAGGCCGGGCUCUGGCCGUCACCCUUGGUCCUAACGAUGAACUCGAGGAACUCCCUCGGCAUGCACGCGGCCGGUGGCGGCGCGUCGUCGAGCCCGCGCGCGCGCAGGAGCCGCUGCCCGGCGUCCGUCCACGCGGCGUCGUAGGACGCGGAGACGCACUGCAGGCAGUACGCCUCGGCGUUGGGGAAUAUCCGCGCCGCCUCGGGCGCGGCGAAGGAGCUGAGGCGGUCGUACAGGACGAUGACGCGGCGGGAGCGCGUGGAGAGGCUCGCGAGGAGGCUGGCGACCGGGCCGCGCGCGCCCGCGACGAAGGCGUCGCACAUGGGGAUGAGGUGGGACGGGAACGGCGAGGGCGCGGCCGGGUCCGGCGGCGGGGAGGCGUACGCGGGGACGGGGACCUCGAGCUCGUGGAAGCGGACGCGGCGGAGGGCGUCGUCGCCCCAGCCGUGCACGCGCGCGCGCGCUUGGCGGACGUGCGCCCCCGGCGCCGCGAAGUGCACGGGGAGCCCCCGCGACGCGAGCUGCAGCGACAGGUGCAGCAUCCCGUUGAGGUGGCCCUGCGCCGGGAACGGCACCGCUACGACGGCAACGGAUUCCAUGGAGGUCUCAGGCUUGGGCGGCAGAGCUUGAUGUUGUAGCGUACAGUAGUUGGCCUCCGGCUCCAUGUACUAGUAUAUAUGGACGCCAUGGUCCUAUAUUCUCAGGUGUGGCAUGCACGUGCGCAGCACGAAAUUGACCAAGGGGCAAGCUCAAAAUAGUCACGUGCCUGCAUGCGCUUUCGUAGAUCUUUUUAACAGGCUGUAAAAUCUGCGGCUUGGAAGAUAUGGAUCACUCGCUGAAGAGCGAUGACUAGUCACCCACAAGCACGCUCCUAGCUUAGCGGCGGACCUGCCGUGUGCGUGGAACUUUCCGUGCUAGGUCGGUUGUCAACUUGUCAUUGCCUUUCGGGGAGUUCGUAAGAAUCUCACUAUCUCAGAUUCAGAAAAUGACCUCGGUCAUCUCUGAUCGCUAACCAAUUGAAGGAGUGAUGCUAUCUCAUCUUCCAGAACGUUGGACAUUUGCGUGGCGCUCUAGAAUCUGAACUAGGAAGCUGCCUGGAUGGAUAGCGCAGGCGUGCAGCGAUCGCUUCAUGCCUACUUAUAUGCCGCGCGGCUUUCAUGAUAUGCUUUAUAGCAGCGCACCGGAACCAUGUUUGGUUAAUACAUGAAACCGGGGCUCAGGGCUCACGGAUUCUCGCGUUCAUACGGCAAAAGGUUCAGAAGGCAGUGUACGGAUGAUGAGCAGUAGUAAUAAGUAUCGCUGGUCUGGUUCAUUCUUCUCACUGACACUGUAAAAAAGGUUCCAGCAAUAACCCUGAAGAAAUGAAAGAAAAAGGAUGAACUAGCCGGCGCCCUGUUUUUUUUAGUCCGAUCUGACCCGAGAAAGGCCGGCCAUGCCUAAAAAUAGUUCUGGGCCCAAACGAAACCCUGGUUUUCGGAAGCCCAGCCUGUGCCAGGUUUUGUAUCAGGGUUUUACAAAAAUUUAGAUUAAAAAAGGUUAAUAUUAAAAAAAUCGAAUAAUUGAAAGGAGGAGGAGGAACUAACCAGCCCAGCCCGAGCUUUACUCUGGUUCUUGGCGUCCUAUCUGGCCCGAGAAAGGCCACCUCCAAUAGUUCUGGGCCGAAACUAAACCCUGAUUUUCGGAAGCCCAGCCUGUGCCAGGUUCUGGACGACAGCCGGAAGCGGAGGGAUAGCGUGUCCGGUUGUGCGUGCGCGGGCGCCCCACGGCCAUACGUCGUAUUCGUAUAUGCUGCAAAUUCUCCACUUCGCCUUGCUCAAUGCGGGACCCACAGGUCAGCACCUUCACCCUCCCUUUCUUCCUUCUCCUGCUGCUGCGCUCCAGCCGUGCUUCGCCGUCAGAGGUUAGGGUUCGAGAUUUCGAGACUUCGGUUUCUGGGUUGCCGAUGCUUGGAGCUAUCUCCGGUGUGGUCGGGAUAUAGAGGAGGUCGGCGGCGAGGUAGCAGGCGGUGGUGGCGGGACGCUGGCAGCCGCAACCCGUGGAAGACAACUGGUGGCCCGUGGAGGCGGCAGAGGAGUCACAACUAGCUUCCCGGUAGAGCUAGGUUGGGGCCGCGGAGGAUGGUGGUGGCGGAUUCAGCGGCGUGAGCUGUCGAAGACGGUGAAGGACAGUAGCGUGGGGGCGAGCGGAGGAGAGAGGUAGCGCGGAGGUUGAUGAGGAGAAAGGGUAGUGGGAGGUGGCAGUGGGUCCGGCAGCGCGGGGGUGUUAGACGAACCGUAGUGGUCUAGUGGACCGUUUGAGGUGAUAGGAGGAGAAAUUGUCGCCUCCUGCGACAUAUAGAGCCCCGCGCGGGUACGCUUGUAGAACGGACGGAUAGCGUGACGCGGGCGCCGCACACAGAGGCCCCCGGCGGCCCAGCGCGACCACGCAAGCAGCAACUGCAGGGGACCCAGCUCGGUAGCCGCUGGAUUCCAUUCCAAGACACAACCAAAAAUGGCACACGUGUUAGUGCAGACUCACAUGUCACAUGUCUGUUGGACAGGGUGGCGCCGUGCCGGGAGGUCACGGCAACCUCAUGCGGCCAGCUGCGACUGCGACUGCGACUGCGAGUGGCUUCCGUACCGUACGUCUCAGCUGCGAGGUUGAUUGGCCUGUGCGUCAUUUUCGACUUCACGGACAUUACACUUCACGGACUAUUAGGCCUGGUUGAGUUCCCAAUUCGGGAGUGGUAAAAUUGGCAUUUUACCAUAAAUGCGCAACUGUAGCGUUUCGUUUGUAUUUGUGAAUUAUUGUCCAAAUAUUGACUAAUUAGGCUCAAAAGAUUCGUCUCGUAAAGUACAACAAAACUGUGCAAUUAGUUUUUGAUUUCGUCUACAUUUAUUACUCCAUGCAUGUGCCGCAAGUUUAAUAUGAUGGGGAAUCUUCUUUUUGCAUAAUGUCAAAGUUGGAAGUUUGGAAGGAACUAAACAUGACCUUAGUUUUCUGUGAUGCAGGGAGUAGUAAUUUUCUGUGGAGGUAAUUAUGGCUAGUGACGACCGACCGACGGCCGUGGCACCAAAUUACAAAAUUGAUGUGCUGCCUUCCAUGGACUCUGGCUAUUGGAUUUGUGGUUGCUGUCAUUCUGACAACUGGCGUUUUCUGUCGUCACUCUUCAGCACUGUGCCAACGCUACAGUACACAUGUAAUAGGAUUAGGUCUCUCGUUGUAUUGUAAGCAACUAGAACUUUUAGAGUUCUAUGCGUAUAACUCAUGUACCUUGUCCUGCCUGAACAUUGUUUUCCAGGACUAUAUAAUGAAACCACGGCACCCUCUUUGAGUUAAGGCGUUCUAGCAUAUUUGGCUGUUUGCUUCUGCUUGUUGCAGUUGUUUGACUGCGGCUGUAUAGCUAAUCAACAAGUAGCAACAGUACAUUUUUUCGAACAGCUGCAGCUACGGUGCUGCAUAAAAAUCACUACCGAACACCCCCUAGGGGCUGUUCGCUUCUGCUUGUUGCAGCUGUUUGGCUGCAGCUGUACAGCCAAUCAACAAGCAGCAGCAGUAAAAAAAAAUUUGCUGCAGCUCUGCAUAAAAAUCACUACUGAACACCCCCUAGGUCUCUCAUUGUAUGCAACUAGAACUUAGAGUCCUAUGCGUAUAAUUCAUGUACCUUGUCCUACCUGAACAUUGUUUUCCAGGACUAUAUAAUGAAACCACGGCACCCUCUUUUGGUUAAGCCGUACCAGCAUAUUUCACAUGGCAUAAGAGCCACCUCCUCCUAAAUACAUCUAGCUAAAUUAGCAUUUUCUUUUUUUUUCUCGUCGACGAUCUACAUGGCUUCAACAAGUUCGGCUUCAAUGACUUUCAACAUCCCGUUUUCUGAGAAACUCACCCGGGCAAAUUUCCUGGUGUGGCGAGCCUAGGUGAUGCCUGCCGUGCGAGGUGCGUGGCUUGUUGGGAUUCUUGAUGGCUUUUUGGUGCAACCUGCGCCCAUGAUUACUAUCAAGAAAGCUGACACCACGGAAGAACAGGUGGAAAAUCCCACCUAAAUGCAAUGGAUUGCACAAGAUCAACAAGUAUUGUCCUAUCUUCUGUCGUCCAUGACUAAGGAGAUUUUGGUUCAAGUCUCUUCUCUAGAGCAUGCGUCGGAAGUUUGGAAAGCUAUUACGGAUAUGGUCUCCUCUUCAAAUCAAGUCUCAACUUUACAGGGAGAAGAAAGGAGAUCAAUCUGCGUUGGCUUAUUAUACUAAGAUGAAAGGGCUUGUGGAUGAGAUGGCUGCUGCAGGCAAGAAGCUCGAAGAUGACGAUGUCAUCGAUUAUAUUUUGAACGGGUUAGAUGCUGACUGUAACCCGUUUGUAUCUUCUAUGUCCAUCAAGGAUAAUGUAAGCUUGAGUGAUCUAUAUGGUCAAUUGCUCUCCUAUGAGGCUCGCCUGCUCCAAUAGAAUUAAGAUGGUGGACACUUCUAUUCCUCGACCAACACUGCCUCUCGCAGUCGGGGUCGUGGAUGUGGCCGUGGUAGAGGCCCUGGUCAUGGUGCAUCUUCUUCUGGUCGUGGCUUUGGCAAUCGUCAAGACCAUCAUCAAGAAUCUGAUGAUUAGGAUGAAGGGCCCUGGUGUCAACUCUGUGAACGCUAUGGCUAUUCUAUUCAUCAUUGCUGGUAUCAUUUUAACAAGAAGUUUGUUCCUCCAAGUGCUGGUUAUGGUGGUGCUAAGCCACUGGGCUCUCAGAAAUCUGCUUCCUCUGUUGCCCCAUCAUAUGGGGUCGACACAAAUUGGUACUUCGAUUCGGGUGCCACGGAUAAUAUCACCAAUGAGUUAGAGAAGCUUUCUACACAUGAUCGGUAUACUGGUCAUGAUCAAAUUUAAGCUGCUAAUGGUAAAGGUAUGCACAUAAGUCAUAUUGGCAAUACUAUUUUUCAUACCCCCAAACGUGAUUUAUCUAUAUGCAAUGUUUUGCAUGUCCCUUCUGCAAAUAAAAAUCUGCUUUCGGUUCACCAAUGUACUUCCGCUAAUGAUGUGUUUCUUGAGUUUCAUCCAUCCUAUUUUUUGUCAAGGACCCGGGCACCAAGAAUCUUCUCCUACAAGGUAGAUGUCAAGAUUGACUUUAUCCUAUGCCGACUUUCCCUCAAGUUCAUCACAUCACCAAACCUUCAAUUUUCGGAUGGCAUCACCGUUUGGGGCAUCCUUCAUCGAUCAUUGUUAAUCGUGUCCUUAGAGAUAAUAAUUUGUCUUUUUUAGUGAGUCUCAUGAGUCAGUUUGUGAUGCUUGUCAACAAGCAAAAAAUCAUCAAUUACCUUACCAUAGGUCUGAAAGUGUCUCCACUUUUCCCUUGCAACUCAUUUUCUCUGAUGUAUGGGUCCUGCACCUUCAUCAGUUGGUCGGUAUCAAUAUUAUGUAAGCUUCAUUGAUGACUUCAGUAAAUUUUCAUGGAUUUUUCUUCUUAAACAUAAAUCUGAUGUGUUUCUUAAGUUUCAACAAUUAGUUGAACGUCUUUUUGAUCGAAAAAUUCUUGCUGUGCAAUCUGAUUGGGGGUGGUGAGUAUCAAAAGUUGAAUUCUUUUUUUCAGCGUGUUGGUAUUACUCACUAUGUCUCUUGCCCUCAUGCCCACCAACAGAAUGGCUCCACUAAACGUAAACAUCAUAAUAUUAUUGAGGUCGAUCUUGCACUCCUAGCGCAAGCCUCUAUGCUAUUAAAAUUUUGGGAUGAAGCUUUCUUAACUGCUACCUAUCUUAUCAAUCGAACUCCCACUCGUAUUCUCGAUUUUUCCACACCUCUCACACAUUUGUUUCAUGAGAAACUGAAUUAUUCUUUUCUUCGUGUUUGGUCGUGCGUGUUGGUCUAACCUUCGUCUCUAUAAUAAACAUAAACUUCAGUUUCAUUUUAAACAAUGUGCCUUUAUUGGGUACAGUUCUCUCCACUGGUCGUGUUUAUAUUUCUCGUGAUGUUAUUUUUGAUGAGGGGGUGUUUCUUUUUUCCCAACUAAAUCCUAACGCCGGUGCUUGUCUCCGUGAUGAAAUUCUUAUCCUACCCUCUCAUCUAAAUAAUCAUGCUGGGGAUAUGAACAAUAGUUUUACUGAUUUGUCUAAUGCCUCACCCGAACUAUUUGAACUGUGCCCUGAUUCAAAUCCAGGUGACCAAUAUCUAUUACCAGACCGGUGGUCUUUCUAUUUUUGGCAACGUCCCAGGAUUCCCCUUCCGAUUUUACGCUACGUGACAACCCUAGCACGAACUCCAGAGCUGAUACGCUGCCGGUGCAGCACUCCGCAACCGAGGUAGAUUUUCUCCUACCAGCUCCAAGAACGACUACGACAGAUUUUGCGUCGGCCAGUCCCUCCUCGCCAAGAGUCCCCCGGCUGCUGUCCUCGGCUUCCGCUAGCUUGCCCCCGCCCACUCCAUUUUCGCCAGCUGUCCCGACAGCUUCCGCCACCCCAUCGGUGUCCUUGGGAUCGCUCGAGGGAGUUCCAUGAUCUUCUGUGCCACCAAAUUCUGUUGAGGUGUCUGUUCAUGCAAGAAGGCUUUCGCCUCCUCCACCUGUACCUCCUCGUCCUAUUCAUGGACCGAUUGUGUCCUCCCCUGGAAGACCGAGGACGCGUCUCCAAGACAACAUAUGAUAGCCUAAACAGUAUACUGAUGGCAUGAUUCGUUAUGGCUUGAUCAUUGAAGCUACAGAACCAAGGUCUUUUCGUGACGCUCUUAAUUCUACAAAUUGGAAGGCUGCUAUGAAUCUAGAAUUUGAUGCUCUUAUGAAGAAUCGUACUUGGCAUCUUGUUCCUCAGCCUGGACAGAAUGUUAUUGAUUGCAAGUGGGUGUUUAAGGUUAAACACAAAGCUGAUGGCACGGUUGAUCGUUACAAAGCUAGGCUUGUUGCCAAAGGGUUCAAACAAAGGUAUGGUUUGGAUUAUGAGGAUACAUUUAGUCCUGUGGUGAAAGCAGCUACUAUCAGGUUUAUAUUAUCUUUGGCUAUCACCAAUCAAUGGAGUAUACGGUAGCUAGAUGUUCAAAACGCGUUUUUGCUUGGUGUUUUGGAGGAGGAUGUUUACAUGAAGCAACCCUCUGGGUAUGCAAGUCAAGAAUUUUCAGAUUAUGUGUGCAAGCUUUUUAGAUCAUUGUACCGGCUGAAACAAGCAUCACGGGCGUAGUAUUCUCACCUUAGUACUAAACUAUUGCAGCUUGGUUUUCAAGGAUCCAAGGCAGACACUUCGUUGUUCUUUUUUCACCAAGGUGAUGUUACUGUAUAUUUCUUGGUCUAUGUUGAUGAUAUUAUCGUUGUCAGCUCUUAUGAUUCGGCUGUUCAAAGGUUGUUACAUAAGCUUCGUGAUGAUUUUGCUCUCAAAGACUUAGGCCCUUUGCAUUAUUUUCUUGGGGAUUGAGGUGUUGCCUGAUUAUGAAGGAUUACUGUUAACUCAAUCGAAGUAUGCCAAAGAGUUGGUUCAUAAGGCUGGUCUGCUCGGCUGUAAGGCUUUUCUCACUCCCAUGGCACUUUCAGAUAAGCUCUCAUUUGAUGUCGGCGAGCUCUUGGAUGCUGAUACUUCAACAAGGUAUAGGAUGGGUGGUCUCCAAUAUUUGACAUUAACAAGGUCAGAUAUAGCAUUUGUUGUGAACAAAGUUUGUCAAUAUCUUAACUGCCUAACUUCGGUUCAUUAUACUGCAGUUAAGCGGAUUCUUCGCUAUAUUAGUGGACUGUUAAUUAUGGAUUGAGAUUUGUUAAGUUCUCUUCGAAUGUCAUUAGUGCUUUCUCUGAUGCUGAUUAGGCCAGCUGUUCUGAUGAUCGCAAAUCUAUCGGAGGUUUUGCGGUGUUUCUUGGUGCUAAUCUUAUUUCUUGGUAAGCGAAGAAGUAGGCAACGGUCUCAAGGUCCAACACAGAGGCUAGUACAAGGCUCCAAUGCCACUAAGCAUAUUGAGGUUGAUUAUCACUUUGUCAGAGAGAGAGUUGCUCACAAACAGUUGGAUGUGCACAUUAUUUCGUCUAAAGAUCAGGUUGCUGAUAGUUUUACAAAACCUCAGGCUAUUCAUCAGCUUGUUGAGUUUCGUCGCAAUCUGAAUGUUACAAGUGGCUAAGUUAUGUUCAGAUUGAGGGGAUGUAGAAGUACACAUGUAAUAAGAUUAGGUCUCUCAUUGUAUGCAACUAGGACUUAAAGUCAUAACUCAUGGAGCUUAUUCUACCUUGACAUUGUUUUCCAAUAAUGAAACCACCGGCACCCUCUUUGCGUCUCUUUGGGUUAAGCCGAUCCAGCAUAUUUCACGCUCGACCGAUCAACGGUCUCCCUGCACCACCCAUUGCCAUCACUUUGGAUCCGUGGACCGUGGAAGCAUCGACAGGAAUAUACUAUCAACUUAGUUUACAAACUAGGAAAAUCCAAUUCACUCUCCUUUCGAUUUGGAGAAUCAAACACAGCGGGAAUUCAAAUUGAAACAAACAAGACGUUUCCCAACCGGGGCGCAUUCUGGCAUCACCUUGUGAUGUGAGCAAUGAAGUCCUCGAAAUCCUUUCGGGAUGAUCCCCCGGCAGCCGCGGACGCGCGGACGGCCUCGCCGACCUCCGCUGCGCGCUGCCGCGCCGCGCGCCCUUCGUCAGAGACCAUCAUCCUCUCGAUCACCGGCUGUAUGGUUGCCGCCGGUGUCACCUUGGUCUGCUUCUCGCACGGCCUCACCAGAAAUCCGGCGCCGAGGUACUCGCACACAAGCUCCGCGUCCCAUGGCUGGUCGGAGUGCAUGGGCCACGCCAGGAUGGGCUUCCCGUAGCUCAUGCUCUCCAUGGUUGAGUUCCAACCACAGUGACUCAUGAAGGCCGCCGUGGCAGGGUGCGCCAGGAUCUCCAGCUGCGGCGCCCAGCCGGUGACCACCAGGCCCCUCCCAUCGGUCUGCUUGGUGAACUCGGCAAGCAGCCUCGCGUGCUGGGUCUCGCCGUUGUCCGCGAAUAUGUUGCCGCGGUCGGCAUCGCGCAGCACCCAGAUGAACCGCUGGUGGCUGCCGCGCAACGCCGCGGCGAGCUCCACGAUUUGCUCCCUUGGCAGCGAGGACAUCGAGCCGAACGACACGUAGAGCACGGAUGCUGGUGGCUGUUCGUCGAGCCAGUCGAGGCAUUCGUGGUGCCUUUUGCUGCUGUGCUCGGGCGCGCUCGCGCCGAGCAGGGGGUUCAACGGGCCGAUGGCGAACAACUUCUUGCCGCCGGUCGCCAUUUGCUCGGCGAGAAAAUCGAUGAACUCGCCCUCGAGCGCGCGGCACGAGUUGGCGAGCAAGCCGGCUGGUGAAGCGAUCCCUUCCUCCGCCCUCGCCCGUUUGAUGGCGUACUCCAAGAACUCCUCCGUCACGUAUUCGUCGAGGGGGAGGAACCCGAGCCCGCGCUCCCGCACGAGCGCGUUCCCAUCUUCCAUCCGCCCGACGAUGGACGACACGGCGGUGCAGUGCAGGGCGUACGCCUCGCCGUUGGGCAGCCGCGCGGCCUCCUCGGCGACGAAGCCGUUCAGUGGGUCGUACAGGACCACGACGCGGCGGUGGGACGCGGAGGCCUCGCGGAGGAGCGCCGCGACCGGGGCGGCCGCGCUGGCGGUGAAGGCCUCCCACAGGGGCAUGAGGUGGGACGGGAACGGCGAUACAGCGGCGGGGUCGGGCCGUGGCGAGACGUACCCGGAGAUGGCGAGGUCGUGGAACCGGACGCGGCGGAGGGCGUCGUCGCCCCAGCCGUGCACGCGGGCGCGGGCCUGCCGGACGUGCUCCGCCGGCGCCGCGUAGUGCACGGGCAGGCCCAGCGCCGCGAGCUGCAGCGACAGGUGCAGGAGCUGGUUCAGGUGGCCCUGAGCCGGGAACGGCACCGCCACGACGGCGACGGAUUCCAUGGACAUCGGAGUUUCUCCAGCUAGACGGAGACGGGGAGGGCCGGGUCUGGAUUGCCUUCUCCUCGAAUGAAUGGUUAAGCAAUAAGCUAGCACCGUGUCGUAUCUGAAUUCUUCUGAAACGAGCUAGGCAGCACGCCCUGGACUAACAGACAACCUCACGUAUCUGCGUCGUGGAAGAGUCCGUUCGUUUUCUUCUCGUGCCGGACAAGUGGUCUCCGUUCAGCGCCUCCCGUCCUCCUCGGUAAAAUGACUUGACUGAUUGCGGCGGUGCGUGGAAGUUCUUUCGCUCGGUGGAACGCCAGUUCGCAGUCCCACUCAGAACGUGCACGCUCAGUUCUUCUUCGGCAUUGCAUUUUCGUCAGGCACUCAGGCCUUCAUUGGUUUCCGCGAAGCUGCUUGGACGGUACAAUAAGCGUGAAAAUGGUGUUAGAAAUUUCUGACUGGUAGAUAAAUAUUACUGAGAAUACAAGGCUGGACCAUCAUAAUAUGAAUUUGUCAUAUGUAACAAAUGAUCAAACUAGCACCUGAUCCCUUUUGUUAAUGAGUACUUAAUAGAUGUGAACGGUAGAACUCCUGCCUGUUCUGUUUUUUCUUUUUUCUUUAAAUGAUCAAGCUAUGCUAGACCCUCGAAUUUACGGGACAGAACUAAGUUUUCUGUGAUCUUGUUUCAUUAUAUAUAUAUAUAUAUAUAUAUAUAUAUAUAUAUAUAUAUAUAUAUAUCAUGGUUCUAACUAUCUUUCUUUUUUGAACUUUCUAAAUGUUUCUAAUUUUUCUAACUUUAUUUUUUUUUGCGAAUCACACAGUACAGACGAAGGCGCUCGCGUACACGUACAUUCAAGUACCAGUGCCGAGCUGAGGACUCGAACCGUGGUGGUCAAGUUCCAACCAUAAGAAAUUUUACCAGCUAAGCUAUGUUUAGUUCGCCUGCCUUUAUGUUUCUUAUAGUUAAAAUAAAAAAUAGGGUUGAGCAAAUGAUACGGAUAAUCUUUUCAAUCAUUCCUGAUCAUUUGCACCCCUUUAAAAGCAAUUUCAAGAUCAAUAUCUACUACUGCUAAUAGUAAUUUUCUUUGGAUCGAUGUAAACUAGUGAUGGUCGGCACCACCUAUGCAAUUAGACUACCAACAAUUUUAACUCUCACCCAAUUGCUGCCGCUGUUCACGAUGGUGUGUUCUUGUUUAACGCCUUCUUGUUUCUAAAUAAGAAAAAAAAGGGUAAGGUUGAGCAAAUGAUACCGAUACCUUUUAUCACUCUCAUCCGACUUCACGACAACUAUCUAGUGGCAUGCAACUGGACCAAUGAUGAUGUGACGUUUUCUAUUGGACUAUCCCGUCCGAUGGGAACUGCAAAUCCUUUACCCCAGUUCAAAUCUAGGUGCCGCCUAAUCAAUAAAAUACUUAAGAUUAAUCAAUAAAAUACUUAGAAUUAUAGUACUGAUCAAAUCCUACAAAUUCCUACCUCUAUAAGUUGAGGCACGAGAGUAACUAGGUCUGACGAUACUUGAUUUUUAGAAUCCAUACCAUAGUUCUAUCCUCAAACUAGGGUUUGUUUUGUCGACAGUGGCCCAAACGGCGACCAAUAGGGAUGAGGUAGUGUUUCCUUAUUCUUUUAUUAAUUUAAAUUGAUUCGAUUCGGGAAUUUAAAACUACGAGACUAAGAUGUUAGAAAUCUUCGUAUCCAAAGGUUCCUAAGGAGCAGUCUUUUUUCAAUCUAAGAUUGAAGAAGGGACUUCGCGAAGAAAUAUCAAGACUUCCUAAUUAUCAUACAUUGUUCUUAUGGUACAUCUUACUACGUACACUUCGUACAUCUUAUGCUACCUACAUACACUAAAGUAUUUAUUCAAUCGGAAUACUUAAAUGCAAAAUUUUGCUUCGUGACUCUGUACUCAUAAUCGAAUUUGUAUUUUGAUUGCAAAUUUAAUUAGUCUUUGGAUACUAAUCUCGAGAAUGUAUAUUAUUCCUCAAUAUGCUAUUGAGAGGAAAAGGAUUAAACCCUUUAUAAGAACUAAAGUUUUCAUCAGAAUAUGAAUAUAUAAAAAAACUUAAGGAUGCCUUAAGUAUAUCAUUUCAAAUUCAAUUAUUAAUAGAAUGAAUCACACUUUUACCACUAAACUAUACCCGCUUCAUAUAGAUUAUGAUACCAAUGCUACCCUUUGUCAAGGGUAGCCAUUCGAGAAGGAGGCUAAUUCAACCUUAUCAAAUCAAACGGAGAAAGUUCAUGACAGGGGGUGGUUAGUACUUCAAUUGCGAGCCUUUACUUUAGGAUUUAGAUAGCCCCUCUCUAAUCUGUAAAAUACAUCUCUUCUUAUCAUGCCAAUUGUGUAUGAACCAAAUGUAUGCAUUUCGAUUAGGAUCUAUUAUACGGUUAUGACUACAAGGAUCAUUAUUUGUGAGGACAUAAAUGUGUCAGACUGCUAUAAGGAAUAGUUUGAUUAUUCCUACAAUAUACACUAAGAGAUAUAAGGGGCAGUCCCCAUAAAUCCCUUUCUUCCUUUUCUUUUUUGUUCAGAAUUGAACAAAUAAAUUGGGAAAGAUCUUUUCUUCCUCCACUUAUCAUGAAAUACGAGCCAUAGGGAAGGAGUGAGAUGACUUUAAAAAAUUCAUCCUAGACUUCGUCUAUCACUUGAGAGAAGCAACAAACAAAGAGUAAUAAAAAGAAAAGCGGAUAGGAAUUGAUAGAUUUACCUGAUGAAAAUUUACAUCAGAGGACUCUGAUGAGGACUCCUCAAACUCUUCAGAAAGAGGAUCCGGAAAGUCUCUGGUUAGUGGAUCCUCCCCAUUUACUAAUUUUCUCUCUUCUUUUGUACUCAAUUCUAGUUUAUUAAAUUCUUGUUUAAAAGAAUCAAAGAAGAUGAAUCGAACUAAGAGCACAUAAAAAAGAGCAUAGAGGACCAAGACCAUUAGCAAAAGUUCCUCCUAAGAAUCAUAUUGGGUAUAUGUUCCUUUCCUUUUCACCCUAGGAUUAGAAAUUCUAAAUCCUCCUUUUUUCUAGUGUUCGGAAAUGGAAAACCCUGAACCAGGAGGAGUUAGGUAUGUAGGAUAUGAUUUUUCUUUUUUGUUGGGCAGGCAGUCGUAUAAUUUUUCUACUAUGCAGUAUAAAUUCGACUGCCAACUUUUUAGAAUAAAAUUUACUCCAACAUAGUUUGUUCCAAAUCCACUAAAAUCCUUGUAGAAUAGUCGAGGACCCCAUUUCCAAGGGGUACCUAUUGAAAAUAAUUUCAACAAAUCUGCCCAAAACUUUUUAAGAAAAAUUAAAAAGUUUUGAACUCGAAUUUUUUUUCAAAAGAUGCCUGGUAAAAAUUGUUUCAAUCUCUCACCAAAACAAAUAAGAAGUAUAUCACUGAAAAUUAAUACCCAGCCAUAUGGGUAUAUGAAGAGCGCAAAUUCCUUUAUACCCCACCCAAUUAGAAUUAGGGGAAAUAAAAUAUAAAUGGAGAUAGUUCUCAUCAUAAGAUUGGCCAAUAGAAGGAAAAGUCCCUAAUUCUGCAUAACAUUCUGAGCACGUGAAAACUGAAUAGCCUAAAGAUAAAAAAAAACAAAGUCUAUCAUUUUUUAAUAGCAGUUCUUAUUGCCCCUUUGGCAUUUUGGCCUAUUGUUGUAUCCGAUUCAACAUUGUAUCCGAUUCAACAAUUGAUACAUAUUUGUUAUCCUCUUAAAAAAAUGGAACUUUCGGGCUUUGGUGAAUUGUCGAAGAUCGUGUUUACAUACCUAUGAACUUAUCCACCUUCUUCAAGUGUAUCCGAUAUAUAUAAUAAUUUUUAAGUGUGUCAACUCUGUUGACAUAUUUUAUUAUACGUUAUAUGUAUUUAUUUAUAUAAUAAUAAAAUACCUCUAUUUUGUGCAAGGGUAAGAGAGAAUAUGAAAGAUUUUCUUAUUUUCUUGAUUUUAUCAAGAUUUUGAACCUUGACACAAAUAAACUUCUAUAUCUCGAUAUAUAUAAAAGAAAAACUCUACAUAUAUCUCUAUCUGUAGAUAUAUUAUGUACAUUAAUAUAUACAUAUAUUAUGUACAUUAUGCAGUAGACCCAUAAUAGUAAACGAAAGUGGCUAAUUAUUGAAUAAAAAGCCCUUUUAACUCAAUGCUAGAGUAAUGCCAUGGUAAGGCAUAAGUCACCAGUUCAAAUCUUAUAAAGGGCUUUUCACUUAGUGGUAGAGUAAUGCUCUGGUAAGACGGAAGUCAUCGGUUCGAAUUCGAGAAAGUAUUUUUCUACAAAAUCCAUUUAUUUUUUUUGAAAAUGUCUCCAUUUUUCAUGAAUUUUAUGACUUUGUUUAGUGCAAGAUGCCGAUAUUUUUGGUCUGAACACUAAACGAAGCACAGAGUUUGAAUUGCAAAAAGGAAAUGAAAUUGGACUAUUUUUCCUAUUAGAGCAAUCAAAUCAAUAUCUGUACUGAACUAAUCUAGACUCCUAAUCUAUUCUUAUUCUAUACCCUUUAAAUAAAUUUCCUUAGAAAGUAGGGGAUGAUCAGUGAAUUAGCCUAACCUUCAACUAAAAAAAUCCUAUGAAAGCAUAACAUAAAAGUAGUAAAGACUCUUUCCUUUGAUCUAGUUACACUCUUCGAGUAUAUUGACAAUUCCAAAAAACUGCUCAUACUAUUAUUAUAGUAUAAUGACGAGUGGUUGUAUAUGGCGGUAUCGUCUAGUGAUGCCCCUAUCGUCUAGUGGUUCAAGACAUCUCUCUUUCAAGGAGGCAGCGGGAUUUGACUUCCCCUGGGGGUAAGGAGUAUUAUAAAAAGAGAUUAAUCAUAGAUUAUCAAAAUGCCUAGAAAAAAAUUCUUCCUGGGUUGAUGCCCGAGUGGUUAAUGAGGACGAACUGUAAAUUCGUUGAUGGUAUUUCUACGCUGGUUCAAUCCAGCUUGGCCCAAAAAUCUAGGGCUCUGUGAAUAUGAACUAAAUCCAUUAUUUUGUAUGGAAGAAAAAAAAAGUCUGACCCAAAGAAAUAAAGGAUAAAGAGAAAUGGGGAAAUUUUUUCCUAAUCCAUAUCUCUCCAAUUCUUUAUCUUAAAAAGAAAAGAGUUUUUUCUUAUGGAAAGGCAGAUUAUCAUUUAUUUUUAGGGAUAAAAAAUCGCAACAUACUAGUUAUGCCACUCUCACUAUACACACAUCCUAUGUGGGUAUGUAGUAUAUGAUUUGUGUAUUUCUUAGAGCACAAUAGACAAAUCGAAUCUUCUUAUGGUUCUAUUUAAGAAUAGGUAUGCCAUACACGCCGCAGGGAUUGUAGUUCAAUUGGUGAGAGCACCGCCCUAUCAAAGUGGAAGCUGCGGGUUUGAGACCCGUUAGUCCCGAACUAGGGUUCAAUGAAUGGACAAAUUCAUCUUUCCUUUUUUUAAUGGAAUUUUUUGAUGAAAAGGGGGGGAGCAGGGGGCAACAUUAAAUAUCUAUGGCGUACCCUUACUUCACUUUUUUUGUUUCGCAUUUCUCAGUAAAAACAAAGAUGCAUAGGAAUUUUUUUUCACUACUUCUGAUUGAUAAGGAAAGGCUAUCAUACAUGGAUUAGUAUAAUUUAGGGUAUUACUCUAUUUUUAUGAUGAUACCGUCAUCAUCUUAACUUACUAUUCGACUCUUAUGGAAUAGAGUGCCGGUAUUUUACCGGAAUCCAUACAUAAACCGCAUUCGUUUAUUGUUAGAGAAUGAAUUUUAUCUAAUUAGUUCCUUUUUGUUUUGGGGGUUAAACCACACCCCUUCUAUUUUCUAGUUCCAACUUUGUUUGUGUAUGUUCAAUGAAUAAUUGGAAAGAAUCUACCUCAUUCUUACUCCAUUUGCUGACUCCUUAUAGAUCCGCUCUCAUCUUUAGACCCCAAAAAGUAGAUAUUGAUAGUAACCUAAUAAACUAAAAACCAAGCAAAUGCUCUUUUUCCUAAAUUGAAAUAUUGGAUCCUUUUUAUUUAAAAUCCUCUUUUCUCCAUCUCAUUUCUACUUCUACUGCUUAUUUGGAUGUCAAUGUGACCCACUUUCUAUGGGUCAUAUAAUACAUACAUACAUAAUUAUAUGUAUAACUAUAAGAAAAAGGAAGGGAAAUUGGAUAAGAUAACAAAGAUUUUGGGUUAUACAUAUAGAAAAGCAAAAGUAGAAAAGAAUGAAAAAUGGAGUAGAGGGAGUUUCGAAUCCAAUCAAAAAAUGAAUUUUGGUCUUAGUAUGGAUAAGGGAUCUUCCUAUGCUAUGUUAUAUUAUUCCACUAUCAACCAUGAAUUGAUUUGAUGGAUGCAAUAUUCAUAAUAUUGAGUUGAUUCAGUAUUAUCAGAAUGCAAGUCCUCCCCUUAAAUUUACAGGAUACCCCAUUUUCCUCUCUAUGGGAUUACAUCCCGAGUUAUUGUGAAAAAAAGAGGUUAUGGAAGUCAAUAUUCUCACAUUUAUUCCUACUGCAUUGUUCAUUCUAGUUCCUACUGCCUUUUUACUUAUUAUUUAUGUAAAAAUAGC